ACUUUUAAUAUUUUAUCUAAUUCUUUCAUGAAUGGAAUCUUCCAAUGGCCUCUGCAAUGGAAGUAUAAGAGGAGGUGCUGUGUCAAUAUCCUCUUAAAUCUCUGUGAGCUCAAGUUAAAGUCAACACAUUCUGGUGUUAUCUGCCUGUGGGUCAAUGAGCAGUUGCAGUUCAUCUUACCCUGUUAAUCACUGUUGGUAACAAUAUCAGCUAAAGGACAGUAAUGAAAUAGGAAUAGUAGUAUUAAUUUCCAGAAGAAAUUUCCAAAUUCUUAUUUUUGGAAGAAUGUUAACCAUUAUUAUGUAGAUAGAAAUGAUAUGAUGUCAAAGGUGGGGAGGGAGAUUUUAUUUGCUUUUUAAAUUAUUCUAAUAUCUACUAUUUUUCCACUUCCCCCACCCCCCGCAAGUUAUGACUGAAAUAUUGUAAUGAUAAGAGGUGUUUUCAUUUUUAUGACACAGCAGUUACAUGUUGGAAAAAAAACAACCACCAACAACAGCAAACAAAGACGGAAGAGAAAUAUUUAUUAAAUUCUUAAGAUAUUUUUCUGCUUUAAAGUUGGAAUAGAGUCAGGUGGUAUAUGACAGUAUCAUGGUUUAACCUGAGCUAGCAAUACAACUAUGACAGCUGCUCACUCACCCUGCUCCCCACUCUCCAAAUAGAUGGGAGAAUUGAAAGGGAAGGGAGAAGCUUGGAAUGAGGUAAACACAGUUUAAUAAAAUAACAAAAUACUAAUGCACUACUGGUAAAUAUAUCAAAUAGAAAUAGAAUAUAAAAUAAAAUAUACUCAAUGCAAUUCCUCAUGAACUCUGCCCACACUGAGCAGCCAGUCCCAAGGAGCAGCACCUGGUCCAAAAGCUGAUCCCGUUAGAGGGGAAAAAAAAGAAAAGAAAAAACAAAACAAAACAAAAAAUAAAAAGGCGGAAAGGCCCAGAGGCCUCUGCAAAACAGCAGGAUGGCAAAGGCUGAUUUACACGUCCUGAGCAGGACUCCCCCAGCUCUGACAAAGAGAGCGAAGAAAGCCAAGAAGUGAGAGAGUGACCAAAAGAUCCCGGCUCUCUUUAAAUCUGAAGCAUGACACUAAUGGGAUGGAAUACUCUUAUUGAUCAGUCUGGAUGUCAGUCAAGCUCUGCCCCAUCCAUGUCCCCCUUCCUCGAUGCCUCACACCUGUGGGCAGAGUGCUCAGAAGGUCCUUGGCUCUCAGACCAGAGCAAUUAAAAACAUUAACUCUGUUCCGGGCUGUUAUCUGUUGUUCUCAAACUAAGUCCAAAUAAUGACCGUGCUAGCUAUGGAAAAGAAAGGUUUCUAACUGCAUGAAGAAAACGAACUAAUUUUUAGUUAAAUCCCCAGAGAUAGACAUAAGAGAGUUUAUGAAAAAACAAAUCUGUCUGUCAUGCUCUCGAUGGCAGCCUGACCUGCUGAAAUGGCCUCGAUGGCUGGUUUGGGUUUGAUUAUUUUAAGUGAUGUCCACUGAUCAGCCUUCCGCAGUUCAUAGAGCUCAGCUAAAUGAGAUUGUUUUUGGUUCACAGUACAAAAAGAAGAUUCACAUAGACCCUAGCAGGAGCUGAAACAGAAAAUGCUAUGAAAUGAAAUUAUUUUGAACAGUUGAGAAACAGCAGAAGAAUGCAUUUAUAUUUCUGUUCUUCAUAAUGAACUGCUGUGCUCUGACCAAUUGCUGACAGUAGCUUGCAAAAACACAUUGCUAUAAAUCCUGAAUUUUAAAAACAAAGCAAACUGUUUUCUAAACUUCGUCUUGUAGCCACAUUUUGUACCCACAUAAGGUAUGCUCUGCCUCUUUUUCUUCCUGCCUGUAGAAGAAAAUAUCAGUUAAAUAGUAGUUUCCAUGUAUCUUGAUAACUAGCAUACCAAUGAUGGAACUAAAAUGUCAUUAAAGGCAUUGGUGUGGUUCUGUCACAGGGCAGGUGGGUGUUCUUCUAACCUUCCAUUGAUCAUUAAUUGAUACGCAGAUGAGCACAGUGUUACUGUUCCAUCACAAGAUGCACUGGGGUGUGUCAAACUGUCAAAAGGCAGGAGGAAUGGUGUUAUGUUGUUCUUCAAAAGUUCUUUAAAACGCUAUAACCUUAUAUACAGGAAAAGCAAAAAUGGUUAGAGUUAUGUCUCCUAUGUUAUGUGGUGCGUUACCCUGUGACACGUGAAAGGUGCUUGCAAAGCAAUUUGCAGAACUAUGAUUUGUGUUGUUACAUUAGCGUUAGAGGGGAGCACUCAAAUGGUAAUGGGCUACUGAGGGAAAACAACUUGUGAAAUGCUGUUUUAUAGGAAGCCCUUGGGAAGACCAAGAGGCUUUAUUUAGGGUAAAUUUGGUAGAAAUCUGGACAAGUUGGUGCCCUUACAAAAGGCUGUGGAACUCACAUAGUUUCAGAACUUGCCCAUACAAUUAAGUAGCUAUGGAAGUGUUGUGUAGAAGUAUUGUAAAAUUGGACUGGGUUGGUACAACAGUUUGUUAGUGAUGUUAUGAAAUCCUAUUUUUAGACUGCUUUAUUAGGGCUGAGGCCUAGGUAAUUUUGGAUGAGUCUCUUCUUCAGCUUAGUGAAGCACCUAGUUUAAUGUAACAACUGUAUGCAUCCUUCUGUAGUCAACAGAAACUAACUUAGAGGCAUUUUUGAAACAUGUAGACUUUGAUCUGUGUAUAUGUAUGUAUUUUUAUAUGUAUGUAAAUAGAAUAUAUCUGAUAUGUAUUUUAUGCAUUUCAAUGGGCAGUUCACUGUAGUUGAUCUGUAUUCGUUGACUAUGAAAAGAACAGAAGAUUAAGGUUAGACUAAAUGCAUGACUUUUGAGUGGCUAGGGUUGGUUGAGGUGAUUGCUACUCUUGACCUAAGUAGUUAACCAGGAUCUUGGUUUUGAACUCCAGUAUUCAUUGUGACUAGCAAGAGAGUACAUAGCAUUGUUUUUAUGCUACGCAAAUCAGUAUCACUAUUUCACCUCAGAUUCUGGACAGGAAAAAAUUGGAAAUCAAUGAAAAUAAAAAUACCUGUAGCAACGAUUUUAACUGGAGGAAGCAAUUAUGUUACAUGUUUCUCAGUUAGCAGUAAUUAAAAAAAAAAAAUUAAAAAUCAGCCAUUGAGAUGUGAUAUAUAAUUGCCAACCAGUACUGUCUUGUAAUUCUGUGUACUGACACAUUUCAAAUUAUCAGCAAUCUAUAAUGUAACUUCAGUUAUUUGGCACUUCCAAAAGAUUUUUUUAAAGAUAGAUAUCCAAAAAUCUGUUUUGGUAUAAUUGAUUUGAGAUUUGUUGAAUCCACUAAUAUGGGUAGAGAGCUUUUCUUCUAUUAAGUAGCCUCUAAGAGGCAAAAGACCUACUUUUGCAAGUGAGCCCCUAUGUGAAUAAAUUGUUAUAUAAAUUGAAAGCUUGCAUAUAAAAUCCUAAAUAGUGGAUAAAGAAGAAACAUUCUAUUUAGUAGUAUAUUCUCAAUAUGUUUUAGUAAGCUUUUACGUAAAAUUGACAUAAGAUGCUGUUACCAUAUUCCUUUUCAAAUUCAAUUGUCCCUUAGUCCCAGCUGCCAGAUUGCUGAUCCCUCUGCACUAUUUGCACUUGCAUGGCAAAAAUACGAAAAGAGUUCAUUGUUGUAAGCUGAAUUCCUCAGCAAAGUACACCAUUUCUUUUCUUCCUUCCCUCUCUUCUAAACCGAAUCAUUCAUGGACUUCUAUCAGUUGUGUGGAUUAGGUGUACAGAACAGAUGGAAAUAUGGCAGAUUAUAGAAGGAGGUAAAGAGUACUUCUGCCUCACCUUGUCACAUUGAGAGGCAUGUUGAGAGCCACCCUUAGAUACCAAUAUCAGCAUCGGGGAGGUAUUUUUAUGUGGGACUGUGGAAAGGAGGUUUGAGUCGCUCGCUUUGCUACUUGCAAUGUGUCUCCCAUUCUAAAGGCAAGCUACAAAUCCAUGGGUCAUAACAGCUGUGCCAGCUUCUCUGCCAUUUUCUAUAUUGUAAAAUUUCCUUCAGAAGAUGCUUGAAGGAGCAGCUCUACUUCUCCAGCAGCAACAGUGCGCUUGUGAGUGGGCAGCCUGGAAAGCCUAAGACUUCAGACUGCUCUCCACUGCGCAUCUUGCGGCACUACCAACUCUCCAAGUGGGUUGUUCAAAUGUCAAGAUAUUUAGAUUUGUUCUGAAAACAUCGUUUUCUAGAACUUGCUCCCAUUCAGUUCUAGUCUUUGAAGCAGAAAAAAGAUUGGGAAACACAAACGCAGAAGUCUGAGAAGUGGAAAGCAAACUACAUAAAAAGCCCUUACAACAACAGAGCCAACAGGAAUGUUUUUGUCAUCACCUUUUUUACGCUAAUCCUGUUUUGAAGCCUGCUUAUAGCUUCUGAAUGUUUAUUUUGCACUGAGAAUGGGGGAGGGUAACUAUUUUUGCAAUCUUUUGUAAAUUCUGUAGCAGAAACUGUCUGGCCCACAUACUGUAAAGAAAAUGCUAAUUGAACCAUUUAUCACGCAGAAAGUGAUGUUCUCAAAAGUUAGGAUUUAAUUUUUCUUCUAAAAUGUGAACAUUGUCAUUGUGCUUUGAAAGCCUGUUUUGCAAAAUACUUCAGUGUGCUGUUGCUGAUGGGGACGGAGGAACAGGGAGUGAAAACAGCUCUUAAAACAUAGUUUAAAUCCUCCAAUUUAACUAUGUAACCAGUAUUUCCAUAACACAUGUGAUUCAGGUCUCUACAAUCUCUAUGCCAAAACUGAUCUGCAGGGUUAUUUAAGUUCUGUGCAUUUAUUUAAAAUGGUUCUGUGCAUUGAGAGUAAAUAUGCAUUUGUGUUUCCCACGAAUGGAAACAGCUGUGUAAGUGGAAACUUCCCAAAGGUAGGUACACACAAAGGUAUCCAUUCACAGGCUAAAUUAACUGCAACAGCUAAUUGGUGAAGUUCUGUUUAAAAAAAAUUGUUUAUAAUUUUAAUACUUUUAUUGGAUUUAAGUGUUGACAAAUAAUAACUGCAUACUCCAAACUUUAUGGGAUAUUUUUAAAACAAAUCCCUUUGGUCACACAGAAGAAUGAAGCUUCUAUGGACCUGACACAGCAUCUGGUAGUAUUAGCUGGAAUUUUUUGCUUAACUUCCUUGAACCAUGUACAAGCACAUAGGAUCUUGCAGAAUAAGCAUUUCUGAUAAUUUGCUUUUGGGAGACCAGUUAAAAAUAGAGGUGAUUGUUGUUAUGCUGCCAGAAUAUUUUGUGAGAGUUGCAAAGCAUUUAAUCAGUCCGUUCUGCUAUUAACCAAACAUCUGAUGACUCCACUUUAUAUAUGCAGUCAUAAUAAAAACAAGGUUUAUAGUAGACCUGUGUUUGUAAGAAGUAAUUAGCUUGGGAAAGGUCUGUGAUAUUUAUUCUCUGUUACUUCACAAACUGGAUCUAAUGAUUACAUGGGGUUUUAGUCAUGUAUCUUCAACUUCUGCCAGGGCUAUGGAGACAGGUUUGUCUUUUUGUCGCUAUUUGGAUGAACAGGAGGCUCGCUAAGACAUGCUGUCUUAAUUUCUUCAGUAAUGCCUGUUGUCAUAUAGAUUUUUCUGUAUUAAUUCAGUGUUGCUGUAGUAUAUGCAUUAUUUCAAGACUGAAGUGCAGUAGUGCACUCAUUGGCUGUUUUAUUGACAUGCUUUGCCAGUAUUUUUGAUCUGGUUUAGCACUUUAGAGUUUUGUGAGUGGAGCUUUUUGCAUUAUUUCAGAAAAAUCUAAGAGCUCCAGUGUAGCUGAUCAAGAUCAGAAUGCAGGCUGAAGGUUUAAAAAAACCAAAUAUGAUGACACAAUGAUUCUCUUGGUAAACUGGAAUAACACGUGGCCAUCAAGUGUGUAAGAGAGGUAAAUUGCCUCAGGAAUUAUUAAAAACAUUUUCAGCAAAGUCAGUUUUAUAUAGACUGAAGGACAGAUGCUGCUGUAUUUAAAAGCCUGUGACCUCCUUGCUGAAUUUGUCUUUGUAGAUUUUUUUCUUUCUUUGGAAUUAUUGGUUUAUGUGUGACACAAAUGUAUAGUUACUUAUGGUACCUUUCUACCAGCUUACAAAUUAAAUUACCAUUUGCAGUAUGUCAGUAUUGAAUCAACUGUAGAAUGACUUAAGAAUGACCUUGACGCAUUAGCGGUUUUUAAACUGUAUUUAUUAUAUGUACCAUUUAAUAAAAAAAUAGGAAUUAUUCAUAACUUUUUUCUGUGUCCUAUAAGCAAUGAAUUGUACUGAUUAUUUAUCAUUGUUAGAUGUCCAAAUUUGCGAUUGUCUAUCAUGACAAAUUCUCCAUUUUAGAGUGGGCCGUUGAAUUGCAUUUAAACAGCAAAGCUCAUGCUGGAGGUCGUAGGUACUGCAGAAAGCAGCCUGUUGGAAGUUCUUGGUUAUGUCUACGAGUUAAUAGUUGUGAAAGAUUACAUCUUCUGAUACAUUCAUCUUCAGAUUCAUCUACUCAUAAAAUACUUAAGUUUCACAGGAUGAGUAACUUCAUGUGAUAUUUAACAAUAAAGCCUGUUAGCUGAAGUCAUGACAGCAUUUUGUACAUGCAAAACUUUUUGUUUAGGUUGAUUAUUUGGCCUUUUGCAUUGAAAUAUCCAACAAAGAAGUCUCUAGACUUCUGAAUACAUCAGAUUAUGUAUUUAACAUUUAAAUCAAAAUAUAUGCGUUUAGAAGAGCUCAUUUACUUGAAGACUCUCAGUUUUGCCAACACAUUCAUUGCUGAUCGAUGUAUGUUAUGGCAGAAGCUCUGCUAGAAAAAGCAAAAUAUUACGAGUAGACACAGGGUAUAGUUCUUGAUGCCAUUUUUGUGUCUCGUACUUGAUAAAUCUAUAACACGAUACAGCUAGUUAAUCAGAAUAUCUACAGGAUUUGUUUCUAGGCAUCUAACCAUUGUAGAAUCAAUAUAACAAGAAAAAUUUUAUUUCUGUUCCAUUUUGUAGCAUCCUUUUGCAAAGAUCUGUUGGUAUAAAAUACCCCACCAUCGAAUACUGUCUCUACAAUUCCUAAUGUAUCCAUUUGUGAGAGCUUUCGCUCCUUAGACUGUUUUGUAGUUGUCAUUGUCACCAUCAUUAAUUCUGCUUCUUAAUGCUAUAAGGGCCCAGAAGGUGAGAUCUGGUUGUGCUGGGUGCUGUCUGAGCAGAGAAUAGCAGAAGGUGCUUACCCAGAAAUCUCAGUCUAAAUGACAUGCGGCCAGGAGCUGGUAUUUUUGCUUGGUUGUUUCCAGUAUUUGUCUUAGUGAAGAGUGGUGUUUUAUUUCACUAAUGUCUUCUAUUGUUUUGGGGUUUUUUUUGGUGGUUGUUUUUUUUGUUUGUUUGUGUUUGUUUGUUUUUUUAAUUAUUAUGUCUGUUUCCAUUUUGGGACGUUUUGGUGCUCUUAAAACAUCAGGCAGACCAUGAAAUAGUUUCUGGUAGCCCUCAGCUGCCGAUCUUGGGAUUUUGAACAGUCUGUAAAAGAAUGCUGGUGUUUGAGUCUAUGACUAAUUAGUUAGACCUCAGCUGAAUAUUCUUCCAGUAGGUGGAGAGCAGCUCAACUCUAUCUAGGUACACUUCUUGGUUUUUAAGAAGGUACAAAUUGUUCUUUAUUCCCACUGAUCCAUCUCUUCCAUCAGGAUGUAUCUCUAGUCCACCUUUGCUAUUCCUCCUGACAGCAACAUCUCUCUCUAAAAGAAAGUUUCAAGUUGAUCACCAGCUUUCCAUUGUGAAUAAUUGCAUUUUAAGAUUGUUAACAGAGGAGUCAACAUUCUUCAUUGUAUUAUUUUUGUCUGUGCUGGUUUAACCACUUGUUUACAAAGGUGUUACCCCUUUUUGAGGUUAGGGGUUUUUUUCUUUGGUUGAUUUUUAUAUGAGAAUGGUUGGAGGACCUAUUGCAUGAUAACCCAUGUGCUAAUGGUAAACACAUGGAAAAGAAGAGUCACAGAGUCCCUUGAAAGCUUCACUGCAGAGACCUUCUUAUCUCAUUUUUGCAGCCCAGAAGUUGAUUGAGCAUUCAACACACACACAUCCUUACAUUCCUCUGUAUUUUAGUAUCUGAGAGGAAGCUGGUGUGUUAGAAGUGGCUUAGGAAGAGAGCUUGGGGAGAGAUACAGAUAUAGAUAUAUCUCCCUCUCAACUUUGCUGGAGCUGUGGGUGAAGCAAAAAGGAUCUGCAUGAAUGGAUCUGUUGUGGCACUGGGGCAGGCGGUGUUCCGGGGAUGAAAUCUGAAGUGUCUGUGAAGUGAGGUUGAUGCGUGAUACCUGAUACCUGGGAAACCAUUUACUAAGACUCAGCAAGCCACAUGAAUGUUGUAUUUUUAGACUCAAGACUGGAUCUUUUUCUGAGAGUAAAAAUAGUCGGAAACUAUCUGAACGGGACAGUGCUGAACUGACAGUGCUAACUGGAUGGUUUCUGUCUUCAGUCACUCGACUCAGGUAUUGGUGAAAACGCAAAUCAGUACUCGGUGACAGCUGCAUGAUCCUUUUAAAGUGCGCUGCUCAGUGAAGAGGUUCUCCGAAGGGUGCUAAUGUCAUUUUGACUUUGUGUGGCAAAUGCCUUCAUAACUAAUAUCUCUCCGUGGAUUUAUAGCCAUCCUUGGACUGCAUCCAGUUCACUGAUGGAACAUCUGGUAAGAAUUGUGUGUUUGUAAUAAGCCCUUACUGUAUAAAGCUGGCUCAGGCUUUUUAGGCAAAGAUCGACCUUUUCUUGGCAGGCUUCUAGCUGUUUGCCAAAACAAGUGCUUUGCAGGGAGCAAGAUGCUGGUAGAAGAUUUUGUGUAAAGGCGCCUUUGUAUUGUACUUGUAAGAUUUUUGUACUUGUUUAAGGAAAAUUGCAUUAGACUGAAAUAGAAAAGUAAUGAAACUCAUAUACACACCAUGUUCCAAACUGCUGUCCCUCUCUUCUCCAUCUAUGUAUUAAAAGCUGUGAUUUCCAUAUGUUGGGUUUUUUUCCCUAACAAAAUUGUGCAAGGCCUUCGGAGUAGGUGUGUUUAAUUUUACCACCGCAUAUGCCUAGUGUGUUUUUUUCGAGAAAAACUGGAAAAAGAAGUAUCAAAUGAAAAACUAUAGUGGUGGUUUCAUACAUAAUUGAAAGAUGAACUAGUUAGAAGGUUUGAAAUAGAAAUAUGUGUUAGGAGAUCUAUAUAUAGCUAGCUAUUUCAUAGUAGAAGACUCAACAUAGCUUAAUCCAAUGCUCAUUGUGUAGCAUGAUAUGAUGUGAAAAAUGCAUAUAAUAUUGUAGUUUAUAUAUAUUUGUUUUGUUGUACUUCAUAACAUACAUGACCUAUAACCUGUUAUGAUUUGUUAGCUCUACACUUUUGUUGUUGUAAUAGUGUGCUCUGAAUUGGUCUGUUUUUCUUCAUCCUUAUGUUCCCCAACAAUAGUCAAGUCUGUUUAUUGCUAGUGUCAUUGAGGAAAAAGAAGUCUUGGUAUUGUCUAUUUUGAUGAAUUGAUUAGGGGAUGAAUAGAUAAUACAUACAUUAAAGAUGGGUCUAGGCUGUCUGACAGUGCUGGUCAUUCCAUGUACCUGUAAGGUUGUGAAAACUGUGGGAGCGUUAGUAUCUUUUGUGAACAUCAGCAACCAAAUGUUUAUUGCAUUCAAUAUAGCCUAAAAAUCUUCUGGUUUUGACAUACAUGUUCUACAGUAGCAUAAGCAGUGGGAGGCUCAAAAACUAUGUAUUUUUCGAGUAUAGUAUUGAAAGUUUAAAAUAUUUGAGUAUGACUGGAAUCAAAGUCAAUUUAGGAAACCUCUUUCUUAGUAGAGGCUCAAAAUCUGCGUACAGUUGCAUAUUUAUUCCAUUAAUCUAUUGAAAGUAAGCAUAAAAGUGUUGUGAUAUAUUAAGUAGAGGUAAAUAAUUUUUCAUGUUUCAAAAUCUUUUUAAAAGAGUCAAUCAUUUAAUGGAAAACUACCAUCAUUAUUUUUUAGGCAGAAGCAUAACUUUCAAACUCUUAGGCUCUUUUGAAAAUAAUAAGCAGAUGUUCCAAAAUGACAGUCCCAUUGCCAGUGCUCAUUUGCCACAGGAUCUUAAAUCAUUUCAGUCCUUUGUAUUUUCCAUUUCAGAGGAGUGAACAAUAUUAAAAACCUGUGAUGCAUAAUGUGGAGUUUCAGUAAAGAUUAAACAAAGCAUUUGAGAAAAGUUAAUACAUUAUAUAUUCUGCAACUCAGCAAAAUUUAUACUUACUUUUGUUUUGAGGUAAUGCUUAAGCAAUAUAGUGAGCAUCCAAAAAUUAGAGAUUUAAGUUAGAGAUGAAGAAUUCUACACAUGAGAAGCCCUUGGCUUUAGUGAAUGUGGCCAUCAUUAGCAGGGACUUAUUGACUCUGGACGUUUGGUGCUGUUAAAUAUGUAUGUUUCUUUAUGCCUCUUAGUGGUAAGUCAUUCUUUACACUAUUGGAGAAUAAAGCAAACUAUAAUCUCAGUAUUUCAGAAGUGAGUAUUACUAGCCGAAGGAAAUACAUAGCUAAAAAUAUUUGACCAUAGAAGUAGGUAAAAAGAGCUGUGUACAGAAGGACAGGAGUUCUUUCAGCAGCUUUGUUGGCAGGUUUUGUAGGUUACAUUUGCAUAGUCAGAAACCUUGUUUAUAAUAACAGCAGCUGGGCUCAUAAUUCAGUAGAUCUUCAGUCUGUGAUAGGCCUUUAAGGCAUAUUGUUAACUGAGUCUGUGGAUUUUGCAAUGCUGAACUAGAAUGAAUGUGUUGGAACUUCAUUAUCCCAAACUAUAAUAGUGUGCGUUUGUGUUGGUUUGUUUUUUUUCUUUAAAGACUUUGCUAAUCAUUGGAAAUGCCUCUGCAAGAGCAUCUGCAGUGUGCAUACUGUAUUAAUUCUUGUGGUACUCUCAUACUACAGUACGGUUUGCGAGACUCGCUAACGUUGCUUCUCCUUUCGCCAGCCCUCUCACAGAAACAGGCUGAAAGAAUAGAAAUACUCUGGUAAACUGUUGUGGUAUGUAGUAGGAAUUACUUCUAAAACAAUGAGAUAGGGCAGUUAUUUUCCGUAGAUAUCGUUUAUCUGUCCUGCAGAAUUUACUUUUUCCUUUUCUCAGCUAGAUCCUUUUCAUGGAUGCUUUGUUUUGCCACUAUAAAAGGCGGUCUCCAGACAUAAAAAUUACUAAGUAGAGCAUGCGUGUAUUACUUGCAAGUUAGAGUUCUUAAAAGAAAUCUCCAAAGAAAACAAGAUGCAAGUCUCAAAAGCAAGAUCAAGCCCUUUCAUAAUUUCUCUGGAUUUUCAGAAAGGCUAUACUGAGGGCAGUAUUGCAAGCCUGAGAUACAUACUCUGUUUUAAACACUGCCUAGUCCUUUGUCUUUUUUUCAUGCUAUGACUUUUAGUUGUCUUUCAUUACUUCUGCUAUAUUUCUUUAAUGUGUUCUUCCAAAAAAAGUGAAUUAUAUGUGAUAUCAGGACUAACUUAAAAUAUGUAUAUUUUAAUCUGUAGUAGAAGCUUUAACAAACAAACUGUCUCGUAUAUUGGACUUUCAGCUAUUGCAUACAGUGUAGAUACCUUAUUUACCUUAUGGUAAGGCUGGGGUAUAUUUCUCAGAAAUUAUAUUUCUGUAAGACACACUGAACAGUUAAUAAAUAGUCAAGUAAUAUCAUAAUCUAGGGCAAAAUACUCAACCUGAAUAAACCUGAGGAGUUUUAAUAUCUCCAGUUUGUACUAGUGGGGCUUCUUCCUCUGAGACAGAACAGAUAGAAGAAUCUCAUUUGUAUUACAGUGUUGUAAAGGAACACUGAGAAAUACACCCUUUCUACUGACUUCUCUGUUUAUAAGUCCCAGAUCAUUACCAGGAAACUGGAUCUUUCCAGUUAAUUCCUAAGCAUGUGCUCUUCUUCUUUAUUAGAGUCUUUUAAAAAAAUCUUUAACAUAGCAUUUUUAAACUUUAUUUCAUCAUCUUGGAAGUCUGCUCUGCUGUGAGUGGUGCUAUUUAAAGGAAACAUCUUCCAUUGCAAUCCAUGAAUUUUCUAUAGUAGAUAAAAGUAAGCCAGUGUAUAAGUUCACCUCUCUCUAAAAUACUGGAAGUAGUUGUACUUCUCCCUUUUCAGAGCAAUGCAAUUGUUUAGAUUCGCAGUGAUAUCAUAAGGCAAGAAAGAACUUUAUUUUUCUCCGUAUAGACUUUAGAAAAAUGAAACUGUGAAUCUAUAAUUGCUUUCAGACUUUGGUCAGGGUGCUUGAAAAUCAAGUAUGGCCUUUAUUAAAAAUGUGAUGCAGUAUUGAACUAUUGUACAACAAAGAACUGAAGCCAUCCUAUUUUCUUUUUAGCAAGAGUGCCCAGUUAACAGUUCCAUUCUCCCGGUAAUCCUGUGCAGGGACUUUACUUGGGGCUGGGUAAGAGUCAGAUGAUUACUGUAGGGUUGUCUUUGCAACCAAGGAAAGUUUCAGAUGCAGAGGUCAUCUUAAGAUCAGGUUUGAGGUUUUGCCUCAUUGGGUGAGUUCUUUAUUUUGCAAAAAUAAUCCUGUGCAUUUCAGUUGAUUAAGUGAACAAGUAAUGCACCCCCACGUGUUCAAUUAACUUUAAAUAUAAGAUUAUAUUCAGAAGCAGAGUUCCCAAAUAUAUCAGUGUUUUGUAAAUGUCAGUGUGAGGAUCAUAUAGACUACAUGCUGAAGAGAGGAGGAUAAAAAAGGAAGAAAAAGGUCUCAGGAGCUGCAAACCCUGUAAGUAAAAUGUAAAUAGUGGGGGGCUUGUUUAGUUUUUUAAACUACAGCAAUUUGAGUUUCAGUGUCUGAUUUACUUUUGCGUUAAAACAGCUUGUGGACUAAAUACAUUUUUUUACUUAAUUUCAAAUGCUUUAGAGUAUUUCUGAAGAAAAAUAGAGUUAAAAUUUAUAAAGAAUUCUUAUGGUUUUUUUUAUAAUUCAUUUGUAUGCAUUCCCUAAGUAGAGCAGAUUUUGCUAAUAUCCGUGAUGGCAGAUGUUUGCUUUAGAGCACACAGUUUUCAUGUAUUCAUAGCUUUUGGAGUGAAUAGAAAUAUAUAGUUAUUAUACUGAAUACACUUCAAGAUUGGUGCAAAUUUAAUACUUCAGGCAAGAUAAUAUAGCUUUCUGUAUGCAAUGGAAUCGCUGAUGAACCCACUUUAUAAUAACGGUUUUGGGGAUAGGAUUGUCUGGUCAAACCCCAUAACUGGAGUGAUUUGAACAUCUGCCAUCUUGACUUUGGGCAAGAUUCAUCUCUGCGUCAACAGAUUUCUCUGGAAAAUAGGACUAUGACUGCCUGUUGUGCUGCAAGGCUAAUACUAAAUAAGUGGAAGUUUUCCCUGGGAGAAAAAGCUUGAUAAAGGAUAGAAAAUUACUUGAGUUUUAGAUUUUUGUUAGUAACUACCUACUUUUCAUUGUCAGAGUAGAAAGUACAUUCAGUGGGAAGUAUUGAACUUGCAGUUAUUAAAAUAUAAUUUACCUCUUUCAGAAUCUUAAAUGAACUUUUUGUUUUCAGAGUUUUUUGCUAUAUUUUCAAGGAUCUAUUACUGUUAAACACUUUUUGCUGACUGUAGCUACUAAAUUGUAAUCAGGGGUCAUUCAAAAUCCUUUCUUGGGACGCUUAACUGAAUACAGUACCUUUGUGUACAUAUGCAGGAGUUGCUAGGUCUUAGUUAUACUUUUACAUUUGAGAGGCAAAUUGACCAUAAUGAAUAGAUUUUUCUCCCAGUGUGUGGUGGUGUAGUGGAUUUCAGAAUUGAUCUUAAACCAGCAAAACCAAACCAAAUGCUGAAGACUCUGAUAAUGAGUUUCAGGAUUAACUUUAUUUUAUUUUAUUUUUUUUUUUUAAACUGUCAUGCCUGUUCUUUAUUGUUAGAGAGCAUAAAUUAUGCACGCUCAAGGAAGGUCAGACAUCUAAUGUGUGUAAGAUAUAUUUUACUUCAUUUAGUCUUCAUAGGAUAUAAUUAGUAUCAGAAAAGACAUUUCUUGUUAAGAUACAACUUUGAAGGGUUUGAUUGUGUUCAUUUCAGAUGAGCGUAUACACCACUAAAUGUUAUUUGGCUUCUCUUAGGUAGAUUAAGCAUUUCUUUUACCUGUGCUCGAGUGUUUGACUAGGGUAGGUAAGGAAAUAAUAUGUUGUUCUUCAAGUAUUUUUCUGAAUUUUUGGAGAGGGAGAAGGCAAGGGACACUUUACGUACGCAGUAGUGACUUCUUUGAUGGAGUCUUUGAAGGUCUGAGUGCUCACAGACUCUCCCCCUAGGAUUGCCAAACCAUUUGGCAUAUUAGGAUGUGAUUCACCUUUUCAUGUUUCUGUUUCUUUUCAUCACCACAGCCCCCAUUAUAUACAGAUUUCCAACUCUCUAUUGCUCCAGAAAGGCUGGUGUGGGACAUGAGCUAUCAAAUAGCAUGGGCUUGUGUUUCUGUGUUCUUUUUGGGCUCAUGGCCCGUUUCCUCAGCCUCAUCAGGAGUUAGUGGAACUCUUGCCGCCAGGAUCGCUGGAUGGAUCACUUGGGUCGUCAGGCACACUCUUCUUUACGGAGGAUGGUGACUCAGUGAAAGACUGAGUAGGGAAUACAAACAUCUUUCUUCUAUGCCAGUUUAGCUACAAACUAUGGGAAGUACCGGCAAGAGUUUAAUUUGAUUGUUCCUGCCUUUGGAGAAGAAAUCCUUUAAGAAUCCUGAAGUAAUUUGCAAACAACCUUGUGGAAAGCUGAUGCAAUUUACACCGUCCAAUAUAAUCUACACUGUUUUCUCUGCCGUGUUAAUAUUUUUUUUUUUCCCUAGGGAACAAGACUCCUGAUUCCUAAUUUAACAUAUAGUAAGACUAGCGGAAGCAGUUUCUCUUUACUGUGUAUAUUGCAGAUAUGCAGACUACAAAGGUUGUGUUUGAGAACUUGCAUAUGUUUCGUUUCUUUGCCCAAAGUCUUUUAACCAUAUAGAAUAUCAACAUUAAAUUAUUUUGUUACCAAUUUAAUUUUUUGGGGUUACAAAUACCAUAUGCUGCCGAAGUCACAGCUAUCAUCUCUUGGACUUGUAUUUACGUAAUAGUUUGAGUGAUUCUUUCUAGCAGUACUGCUACUGCUGACAUUACCAGCGUUGAAAGACUGCGUAAAAGCCUUUAAGAGUGGAUUUGAUUUGCUUUAGCACAGGUGAAGCUGAAGUUGUUGCAGCAUUUCUGGUCUGAGAAACUUUGGAUAACAUGAGGCAUGCAGUAUUUCUUCUGUGAUUUGUAAUGAGGCCAACCUGGUUCCACUGGAGCAAUUUUACAUCAGUAAGAGAUUUGGAAGACAACGUGGAAAGAAUCCAGCCUUCCAGUUUCAUAACAACACUAGAAAGACUGAGAAAAGAAUCUGUCUUUAAACAUCUGGAAUCUCUUUCUUCAGUUUGCUGGUUUUGAUGUUGAGGAUUUUUUUUUUAUUCAUUCUUCUCCCCUCUGUUCCUGGGAGACAUACAGUUAGGGUUUUUAAUUGGUUAGAAGAAGUUUCUGUUAAGUAUUAUUCGGAAUAAAUGUAAAUAAUGGUAUUGUUAAAUUCAGUAGGAUCUGAGUUUUAUUACUAUUUUCCUAUUUUUAUAGAAUGCAAUUAAAUCUUUUCCUUCUUUUCCCUUCUAGUCCAUUUUCCUCAAAUAGCAAUUCAGGACUGACUUCAUAGGUUACUAUACAUUAAUCUCAGAUGAGCUGAACUUGAAGUGUACUGUUAAAGAUUGGGUAAUUCUGGUCUGAAAUGAUGGUCUUAGUGUUCUUAAUACUGAUAUCCUUUCUGGAAAUUUACUGCUACUUCUGUGUAGCUGUGUAAUCAGUAGCAUUUUGGGAGGUUGUUUGCUAAGAAACAGGUACUAAACUUCAUUAAUUGCCAAGAUAUUUAAAAUUAUUUUAAAUACAUAAUAUAUAUUUUUUUCACUUAGUGCCUCUUCUUGAUAGCUCCUUCUAGAGAACCCAAUGGAAAAGUCACAGCAAUGAGGCAAACAGUCGCUUAAAAGCAAAUAUCUCUCCACAGAAAGCAAUGUGGAAGCAAGGCUGUUUCUCCUUUUGUUCCUUAGUUUCCCUGGGAUGUAGCCACCAAUCUCCCUUAGGUUCUUGUGAAAAUCACAUCUGGUAUCUGGCUCUGUAGCCACUAAAGCUGAAAUCUGUCCCGUGGUUCUUUUUACAGGGGUUGAUUAUGCACAGCUCUCAGCACCAGUGCAUGCAAGUAGUGUAUUCUCUUACUGUGAAUGCUCAACCAAAGCUUCUUUUAUGCCCUAUCACAAUGGGAGGAAGAGAGCGGACGACCAUUAAUCGCGUUGUUUGAAUCUGCAGCUAAAAAUCAAAGUCAAGCUUCUUUUUCUCCUUGUUACUCCAAGGUUGUAUUGAAUUCAUUAUCUUGCUGCCUUCCCUUGCUUCCUGCUGCACUGCUUAUCCUGGCCUGGAGUGCGUUGCUUCCCCUUCCCCUUCCUGCCAGCUUCAUCUCCAACUAAAGUCUACUCUAGCAAAACUGAUUCUUUCUUGGAUAUCGGUAUUUGGAGCUGUAAUUUCCUCUAAAUCCUUCCUUGCCGAGAUCUUUAAAGCUUGCUGCAGUUAGGAUAAGUAAAAGCAGUUACAUAGAUGACAGAAUCAGUUGAACGGCAGAGUGGCUUUUCCUCUUUGAUUUGUCUUGGAAAUGCUACUGAAAUAUGUAAUUGCUGUGGGGUGAAGUCACUGUUUUCAUGUGGCAGAGAAACUGUGACUAUUGUUUACAGUUCACUCUUAGGAAAAAACUCAUUGCAAAUUGUAAGAUUUGUAUUUUGUUACAAGUCUUGGGGAUAAAUUAGCCUGCCUUUAUAUGGUGAUAAUGAGACAUGGAGCUGCCAAUUCAAAACACCACUUCUUGUACGUUUUGCAUUUGAGAAGAUAAAGACAAUCCAUAGGUAAAACAGAAUAAAUAGAAGAUAUUCUCCUAUUGUUAAAAGACCAUUCAGAUUACCAAAGCAAAAUUAAACUUAUAGUUGAAAAGACAGAAAAAGAAUUAAAAAAAAAAAAAAUCAGACUAAACUGGUUCCAUGAGUCAAAAGAACAUGUGUGCGUGUCUAUAUAUGUAAAUAUGUAUAUUUUUAUAGUUUAAAGAAAUAAUUUAUAACUGAAAUUUCUUGUUAGUGACUUGAAAACAUUAACGUAUUUUAUAUGUUACAUCAGAAAAACAAGUAGUUCCAUUAUGGUUUUAUCAAACACAUUAAUAAUUGAUAAAGGUUGUAACAGUAUUGGUAUAUUUAUUUGUAUUGAUUUAGCAUAAAUGCUUUUUAUGUUCAAAUGACCAAGUUACUUACAGUUUUAAUUUUACAUUAUCACUGUGCCUGUAUGAAGUCUUCCUAUGGAUAGUAAGUUGUAUCACUUAACUGGAAGAUGCUAGAGAACAGAAAACAGCCUUUUACUGAUUUGGUUGACUUAAAGUUGUCUUCUCAGUGCUACAUGUUCCUGUUGCACUGUUUUUGUCUCACCUAAAUAGCAGUGCCCGUCUCAGUUAUUUUGCAUCUACUUGUCCCCCACCGCAUUCAUAUUUAUCUGAAUGAAGAAAACCUAAGCAACUUAAGUCAUGUUUCCGUCACAGUUGGUGACAAACCUGCAAAGUGAGCACAUCCUUUACUUGAUAUUGUUAAGUUUGAGGUGGCUACGUCUUGAUAUUUGAAUCCCUUUGCUGGAGAGCAGCAGUGUUCUGUAAGACUGGGUAUUUGCUUUUACUUCCUGUUUCUGCUUAUGGCCUGGAGAUUAUUUUUAUACUGCUUGUCACAGAAGCACAGAAGUAGCUAUUUGAAAACUAGAUAAGAAGUCAAAAUGAAAACAGAAGAUGGCUAAGAGCUUCUGCAAGUAAGGAGAGUGCAAAGCUCACUCAAAUUGAACCAGCAACUGACUCUGCGGCAAAACAUAAUGUAAGGCAUUUUCAGUGUUUUAUCAACAUGUGCUAGCUGAGGUAUGAAAAAAGUGGUUUUUACAAACAAAUUGCAGGACAAUAGGUAAUGUAGUUUAGAAUUAAAAUAUUAUAUAGACCAUAAUCUUGACACCAGGAUCUUAUUCCUCCUGCUAGUAUUGUUGAUGUCCUUUAUAUGGAAAACAGCAGAGAUCUCCUGUGUGUGGUAAUAAUUGCAUUUAUAUGGUAUUUCUUAUAAUUGUAGAACACUUUAUAUGUUGUGUAAGCUUUACAACAUCUUUAGAUGAUGUGAUUUUUACCUGGAGAAACUGAGCCAGAGAUGCUGCCGUUCCUCCAGACUGGGAGGAUUCUAGGCUAGUGCAUUGGUCAGUGAUGACAGGAUUCAGGAAGCUGCGUCAGCAAAGAAGUUUUUGUGCCUUUGGACAAGUCAUCAAUUUACUCCACAUCUCAAUUCUCUGUGUGUGAACACUGUUGUUAAAUCAGACUGCCAGGGAUAAAAUGCAUGGAGAACUGAAUCAAGCAGAUAGGGCUGCAAAGAAACAAGAGCAUGCUGGAGCUGAGAUUGAUCUUCAUGAUGCCCAUGGUACCGGCCUGGACUCAGGCAAUGUGGAGAAAAAGGCUACAUGAAACUAAUGGAUAGUUCUGUGUUGGAUGCUACGUGAUGGUAGCCUUUUAAAUCCUUUUGUUAACAAGAAAGUACUUUUCUGAUUCUGGAGGAAUAUAUAGUAUUUUCUUUGUGUGUGUGUGUGUUUUGGUUGGUGGUGGGGUUUUUUUUGUUGUUGUUUGGUUGGUGUUUUUUUUUGCUUGGUUGGUUCUGUUUGUUUGGGUUUUUUGUGUUUCUUCAAUGCAGUACUUUAGAGCCUCCAGCUAGUAGCAAGUGUUUUACUUUUUGCCUUAGGCCAUCCAACUAUGGCAGAUUUAUGAGGCGGAGUUGCUUUCCGGGAGCUGGGAACUAGAGCUUGGGUUCAGUUCCCUAAAGGAGGCCUGGCAGCUACAUGCUCCCUAUUACUAUUCUCAAAUCAAAACUUCCAAGUAAUAGGUAACUAAAGUACAAUACAUUUAAAGUAGGAAUUUCUGAAUUGCAUGCUUAGAUGAAGUAAAUACAUCAAAUUGUUCAGUCAGUUUAGAGGAAAAGCGAUUGGUGCAGAUUCUGGUUUGCUCUCCCUUUCCUGUCAGUGGCUGAUGAAGGCUGAGACAAAGAUCUGAUGUGCAGGCUUUUUCCCAUAGGAUCAGCACUAGGCAGUCUUUUCAGAACUUCCAUUAACACUUUGUCACCUCCAAGAUGCAUUAGUAGCCACAGUGUGCUUCACCUGUGACCUCCUUGAGAAGAAAAUCAAGUUUGGGAUACAAAGUCAUGCAGUAAUAUUGACAUGAAAGUAAUUAAUUUUGAAGCUAUGGAAUUAUGACUGAAUCUCUUUUCAGGAUCCAGCACCUCAAUCCUUAUUCACGCAGGGUAAGUGGGGAUUGCUGAUAUACAGGUUGCAAAUCAGGUCCUUUAUGCUGUGUCUCACCUGUGUGACACAAAUAGUGAAGAAGCAGCAGCUUAAUGAGAGGGUGCUAAUUAAUGGAUUUUUUAAAAUAAGAUGUUCCAAAUUACUCAUUUAGUGUAGAGUAUCGACCACCUCCCUCUUGCCAAGUCUCUUAGCCUUAUGCUAGUCAUUUUAAUGUAAGAUAUGGACAGUGCAAUUUCCACACUACAUUGCUUGAAAAUUCUUGGGGGAAGAGAGUGGUUGAUUAUGAAAAUAGGUGAAGCAUCUUUUAUAAGCUGCAGGAGGUCAUGAUCGAGAUAGGCAGCAUGUACGCUUUUCAUGAAGUAGAAGUGUGAUUCUGCAGGUCCUUCCUAGACUACUGCUUACUCCUUUUGUGAGAGAACUUCAAACAAUUAGAGUUCAUCCGUAACAGGUUGUUAGAAUAUAUGUUUAUAAAAGAAAACAAGUUGCUUUAGAUGGUGGAAGAAUUACUUUUAAAAGGGAAAAUCUUUGGAGGAAUUAAUUUUGCUAUUGUUAUUCAGAAUUCAUACACCAUUAAUGUUUAGUUCAAAGUAUUUCAACACAAUGCUUUUGCCUAAACAAAGUUGCAUUCAUUAAUAGUACAGAGAAUGGAUUUUGAUUUGUAAUUGAUUAACUGUCUUAAUGUGUUUACAUCAAUUGAAAAAUGCACUAGCACAAGCAAAAACGCAAUAUUGCUCCAAGUAAUUUUCCAGCUGUCUGUGUUUCAGUGGCUAGAUGGCAUUUAAGGUAACUAUGCAAUGUAACAGAUGCUGAUUUCAUCCUAUAUUGCGGUUAUGGUAAUGACUAAUAGUGCUGAUAAAAGGCAGUUGAGCAUUUGCCUAGGGCAUGGAAAACUGACUCUAGGGUGAACUGUACCAUGAUGUCAACAUUGUUUGCAAUGCAUGGAUUCCAUCAUGGCUCUGUGUUUGUCCCAUCUUUAAAUAGUCCUUGCUUUUAUGCUGAACUCUGUUCUGAUAUACAGUAAAAAUCUUGUAUCUGUGGUGGUGCUUUACUGUGUUAAAUUAUAAUCAGUACUAUAGGCAAAAUCGCAAAGUUUUAAAAAGGAAUCUCUUUCUGCUUUUGAUAUUGAGGGGAUAUUUGGGUGGCCUGUGUGAAAUCAGUUGGUGGUCUAGCUCUAAUUCCUCAUGGAUAUGUCAAAAACAAACAAACAAAUCCCCUUCGUUAUAAACAACACCCUUGCGGAUACAUUCAGUGUGGAACAAGAACUGGGCUGGGGAGGACUGAAAUCCUCUAUGACCUUUAGAUACAACUGCUGAAACACUGUCCAUACUCAUAGGGAAAAUUGCAUAGUGCUCACUGUGUUAUUUUGUUCCUGGAUUUUAGUUUCCUUAUAUCAGCCUGCAGAUACAGUUUAAGAAGGGAGCUCCAUCCACUGUUUGCUCAUUUCUGAACAAGCCGAGGAAAUUAGCUGCAGAAAGUUGUAUUGGAAUACUUGAAAAGUAAUUUAACUGUGUCUUACCUUUAGGCAAGCAAUAUAUUAAUACUUAAAUGUUACAAGAUUUCUUGCAUUUGCCCUUACUAAUUAAACUAACAAUUGGUAAACCUUACGUGAUUUAUGAUUCUGCAUAUGAGGUUGUAUUUUUGCAGUAGAGUGCUCUUCACUACUGUCAGUCGAAAGAAGGAAGAAGAACGAUUAGCAGGGAACUCCACUUUCCAACACUGUCUCCUGUUGGGUGUGGCUGAGGAAAUCCAUAUAGUGCUUGAUGGGAACCAAAUAAAUAAAUUAACUUCUUAGUGAUAUACUUCACCGUGAGGGUGGUGAGGCACUGGAACAGGCUGCCCAGAGCAGCUGUGGGUGCCCCAUCCCUGGAAGUGUUCAAGGCCAUGUUGCAUGGAAUUUUGAGCAAACUGGUCCAGUGGAAGGUGCCCCUGCCCAUGGCAGGGGGGUUGCGACUGGAUGAUCUUUCCAACCCAAACCAUUCUAUGAUUCUAUGAAAACUCUCAUACACAGCACUGUUAGAUUUUAGACAGCUACCUAUAAAUGUAAAUAAAAUAUAUUAUUUGUGAUAGUUUAUUACUGAAAUCUGGAUUCGUAUUGUCACUUUCUUCCAAUAUGAAAUACAUUUCUUAAGGAACAGCAAUAAUGUCACAUGCAACUGUGAUAAUUUAUAUUUGUCUAUAAUGACUUCUAAAAAUAUGUAAGAAAAAUACAUCCUGUAUUAAAAGAUAGACUUAUUAUUACUGUUAAGUUAUUGCUUGACUUAACUUGGAUGCAAAUAAGUAGGCAUAGAAUUUAUACACCUUGAGCCUCUAGAUGUUAUAUGAAACUUAUUAAUUUGCCAGGUACUCAGAAGGGGUAUAUGAGGGUUGCAUCAAUGUUAUUGUAGCAAGCUAUUUAAUAAAUUUGGUACGCACAGGAAGGUGUUAAUAAAGUCUACAAAUGGCUCUCUUAUAAAAGUGUUUCUUAGAAGGAUUCUUUGGGGAUGAGGGUCUUAAGAAGUUAUAACUCAUGUUUCUAAUUCCAAGUGGUAAUGCUAAUUACUUUAAAAUUCCACAGGCAGUUAAAAUUGUUUUUGUUAUUUGGUGUAUAUGUGGAUCUCUGCCCAGGUAAAUUUAUAUCUAGCUUUUUUCAGUAUUAUCCUGUUUAUUAAGAAAUGGAAUUGCAUAAGUAAAUACUACAGUGAAUAAAUACACUUAGGUGAUGGUAUACUUUUCCAGAAAUUAUAGAUAGUAGAACUGGUAGAUUGCAUAAAAUAGACUGGAGACAGAAAUGUAGCAAAGAGAGUGUGACUUAUCUUACAUGGAGUAGUCUGAUUCCUGGAUGCAUGGAGUUUCAGAAACUGCAGAAUAACAUGAAUAAUACUGCUUUGCACCUACAUCCAGAGGCUCUGUUGAUCUAAACCUGUUGAGGUGACUAGGAAUGCAACAGAUGGUGUAAUUUCAGUCUCUACAACAGUUCGUGUUAUUGGUGCUGCUGCUUUUAGAUUCAUAUCUCUGCACAGCUGUUUCAGUACAGUUGUUCAGCCUUAGAGCAGAACACGAAGUAUUCACCCAAACCUUUGCAUCUGUCAUCAUUAUAAGAAUGUUUCACAGUUCGUGUUUGUGGAGGAUGAGGAUUCUGUGUGCUGCAGUAGUUUCCUGGUGCUGUACGCCCCUCUCGUGUUUGGCUGAGAGCGUUUCUGUCUUAUCCCUUCACAUGCAAUAACUCUGUACUGCUCAGCUAUUUGCUGAGCCUAGAAACCCAAUGGAGUUUCUUGUUGGAGGAUGUUUUACUUUAAACAAACCAUUCAUGUGUCUGCUUCUGUUGUUUCCCAGUAUUCUGCAAACCAGGAAUCAGGAACGGGAGGUGCCCCAGCCGAGCAGUCCUGCAGCCGAAAGGCUGCGCACUUCCUCGCCGUGCUCUCUAAAACCACUUUUAUAAGCCCAGCAUGAGAAUUUCUAGCGUAGUUUGACUGGCAGCCUCCCCCAUGCAUCUUCAGCAAGGAUAACUAUGAUGAAACUUAAUUAUCAGCACGUUGCAAUGUCUUCUGUGUUCACCAAAAACAUUUUUAGGGCUGGCUGAAGAAAUUCUGAGUGAAAUUUAGCAGUAGUAAAAGUGGAAACAUAACAAUGCAUUUCUAUUGCACACUUAACAGCAAAUUUAAAUAUUUAGUCUGAGGUGGCUUUCUCAUUUAUAACCCUGUUUUCAUUUCCAUUUCAGAAAUGUGUAUUUCUGUUCGGCUUAGCUCGAAUUUCAUACACAAGCUGUACAAUGUUCAGUUAUUUCCAUGCAGAAUGCUCUUCCUUGUGGAAAAACUUAUUGAAGGGAAUAGAAAUGCUGAGAAAAUCAGAUCCAGUUGAUGGAACUGAGUGUAUUUCUUUCAGAUUAUCAUCCUCCAAAGACUAGAUUCGGGAGAGAUGGUGCUCUUUCUUAUACGAGGCAAAGGGACAUAUGCAGGUGCAUCUGGAGGAAACACUUGGAUCCUGUGUGUCGCUGUCUGUUUUUACUGGGCUAUUAUUAUUGGUUGCUAAACGGCAAGAUGCCAGAACUGGACAGGAAAUAUUUUUUUUUCUUUCUAUGAGAGUUUUUGACAAAAAUAUAUCUUGCGUAGAAGCUUCUGAAAAUAAUGCAGGGUUCUGUCAAAAAUCUUAUUUCCCAGCCAUUUUGCCAAAAGCUUUUUGUCAAAAUAAAAAUCUGUGAUUUUAACUAAACGUCCUUAAGUAGCAUUGGACUACUGAAACUGAAUUUCUUGUACAUAGUGUUUUCACUCAGCUUUACAUCUUGACAAAAUAACUCUAGAACAAAAACUUCGGGGUGGGGGGGAUUGUUUUUUUGUUUGUUUUUGUGGUUUUUGAUUUGUUUGCUUGUUUGUUUUUUGGAGGUGCUGUUCUAAAUACAGGAACUUGUAAAUGAGAUGUGAAAUACUUGAUGCUCAGGUGCACAAUAGCCAAAACCACUAUGAUGACAAUUUUUUAAAACCUGAAGAAUGGAUUGACAAAAAUGGAAACAUGGAAAUUCAAUGUACUUCAGGCCUGUUGCCAAUCAUGUUUUUUUAGUGUUUCUUUCUUCCAUGUCCCAACAUAUACUCCCUCUGGCAGCAGCUUCAAAGCGAUUCCAUCUUUCUGUGUCUGUGCCCACUCCUUCCUAAUAAGGAAGAUACCGUGCCCUCUCUGAACCUGUUGCCUUAUUUCACAGAAUCAGAGAAUGUCAGGGAUUGGAAGGGACCUCAAAAAUAAUUUAGUCCAAUCCCCCUGCUGGAGCAGGAACACCCAGAUGAGGUUGCACGGGAAUGUGCCCAGGUGGGUCUUGAAUGUCUCUAGAGAAGGAGACUCCACAACCUCUCUGGGCAGCCUGUUCCAGUGUCUGUCACCCUCACUGAGAAGAAGUUUCUUCUCAAAUUUAAGUGGAACCUCUCGUGUUCCAGUUUGAACCCAUUACCCCUUGUCCUAUCAUUGAUUAUCACUGAGAAGAGCCUGGCUCCAUCCUCCUGACACUCACCCUUUAUGUAUUUAUAAACAUUAAUGAGGUCACCCCUCAAUUUCCUCUUCUCCAAGCUAAAGAGCCCCAGCUCCCUCAGCCUUUCCUCAUAAGGGAGAUGCUCCACUCCCUUCAUCAUCAUUGUUGCCCUGUGCUGGACUCUCUCCAGCAGUUCCCUGUCCUUGUGGAACUGAGGGGCCCAGAACUGGACACAAUAUUCCAGAUGUGGUCUCACUAGGGCAGAGUGGAGGGGAAGGAGAACCUAUCUUGAUGUACUACCUCCUGCCCCGCUUCUAACACACCCCAGGAUGCCAUUGGCCUUCCUGGCCACAAGGGCACAGUGCUGGCUCAUGGUCAUCCUGCUGUCCACCAGGACCCCCAGGUCCCUUUCCCCUACACUGCUCUCUAACAGGUCAUUCCCCAACUUAUACUGGAACCUGGGGUUGUUCCUGCCCAGAUGCAGGACUCUACACUUUCCCUUGUUAUAUUUCAGUAAAUUUUUCCCCACCCAACUCUCCAGCCUGUCCAGGUCUCUGGAUGGCAGCACAGCCUUCUCGCGUGUUAGCCACUCCUCCCAGCUUGGUGUCAUCAGCAAACUUGCUGAUAGUACACUCUAUUCCCUCAUCCAAGUCAUUGAUGAAUACACUGAAAAAUACUGGCCCUGGUACUGACCCCUGAGGCACUCCACUAGAUACAGGCCUCCAAGUAGACUCUGCCCCAUUGACCACGACUCUCUGGCUUCUUUCUUUCAGCCAGUUCACAGUCCACCUCACUGCCCGAUUGUCCAGACUGCACUCCCUCAGUUUAGCUGUAAGAAUGCUGUGGGAAACUGUGUCAAAUGCUUUACUGAAGUCAAGGUAGACCACAUCCACCACUCUGACAUCAUCUAUGCACCUCGUUAUAUCUUCAUAAAAGGCUAUGAGGUUGGUCAAGCACAACUUCCCCUUGGUGAAGCCAUGUUGACUGCCUCUAAUGACCCUCUUACCCUUGAUAUGCCUCGAGAUGGCACCAAGGAUAAGUUGCUCCAUUACUUUCCCUGAGAUGGAGUUGAGGGUGACCGGUCUAUAAUUACCCGAGUCCUCCUUCUUGCCCUUUUUGAAGACUGGAGUGACGUUUGCUUUCUUCCAGUCCUCAGGCACCUCUCCCAUUUCCCAAGACUUGGCAAAGAUCCCACAUCUUCACCCAAAAAUGGAAGGAGGGAAGAGAAAAUCACUUGAGCUCCAGAUUCUUUCACCAUUCGUCCAGAGGCCUUUCACCAUCGGUCCCUCUCAGAAGGGAAUUGUCUACUACAACUACCCUUCUUUCUUAUCAGAGGCAGUCUUGAGGUGUGGAUUCAACCACCUCUCCCUAUGUGACCUUGUAGGCGGGCCUUGCACCACAACCUCACCCACCUCUUCUUCAAGAUCCAGGGCCUCAGACUUAUUACGGAGGGACACCUGGGGAAGCAAAGCAGGUAGGGACGGGGGUUGCCUGCGGCACCAAACUGGAACUUGCUUCCAAACCUCAUCAUCUUUUUGGUCCCGUACCUCUGUCUGACAGCAACAGGGCAGUCUUGGGUCUUCCCCCUCUGCUUGACAGGGCAGGGGGUCCAUGACCUUUUGGGGGGUGUCCCCCUGGGGCCUUUCUGACUGGCACGCCAGGGAGUUACUCCACCAGUUGAUCUCCUUUUCACACUCCCUGAUGGUCCUCAGUGUUUCAGUCUCCUCCUUGAGUUUCAGAUGUGAUGGAGCAGGAAAAGUGUCAAAGGUAAUAAUGCUCCUACAAGGUCUGUGAAAAAUCAGUGGCACAGUGGAGAAGGGAUCAGCUUUGUGGAGCCUUCAGAAAUUGUUAAUCAAGUCUGGAAUGCAAACUGGUAGGAAAGCAGGCUUUGGUAAUUCUAGGCUUGAGGGAAGCACUUUUCUUUAUCGUGGGCAUCUCCAUUUAUUUAAUCUACUGGGGUUUUUUCUUGUUUUUGUUUGUUUAUUUUCGUUGAAAAAAAUGCUCAUUACUUUGACCACAAGUUUCUCAAAACAAAUGUAAUUUAAAAGCACAGGCUUUUGUAAUGGCCAUCCAGUCUGGUUUUGUCUUUUUGUGUGCUGCGUAGCUAUUGAUUCAUCACUUCGCUGUCAGGGAUGGAUCUGGUGGUUAAAUGGUUUGCCCUCUUAGCUUUGGCCUGAAGCUGAGCUUGUGCUCCUGUUGAGCACACUUGUGAUCUGAGGGGCUUAAUAGUCUGAGCGAGUUCGCCAUACUUCCCUGAACUGAGAACACGCAUUGCAGUGUAAUAGUUGUGUCUCUGACACCAAAUGAUCCAUCACCCCAUCUUGAAGAUCUCGCAUAAACUCUAUGCAUUAACCUGUCUCAUAAGAGAAAAACAUCCAAUCUGGAAUUGUGAUUCCUAGCAUAAGAUGACUGAGAGCUUUAGGAAGCAUGUCUGUUGCCAGGGCUUUGAGUUGUCCACCCCAUGGAAAAAGAAUAAAUCUUCAGUGAACAAAACCAGACUGUUCUUCCAUGGAGCAUCAACCUAGCAGGACCACCAAAUCUCUUCUUUAAAUUUUCAACCUUUCAGGGUUUUUGGCUUAUUCUUAUUGAAGUUUAACUAAACUGAUGUUUUUGUUGUUGUUGUUACAGUACUUGUUACUGUGGUGCAUGCAGAUUGUGAUAAGGAAAAAAAAAAAUUGGAUGAAGUUUCUAUGGUAUCCUUACAGUAGGAUUAACAGGAUUAUCACAAUAUAAAUUUAAUCAAUUGAUUGAACGUAUUCUGAAAAGCAUCGAUGCAACAUUAGUUUCCUUCAGUCAGGUUCAUUGUGCUUUUGUCACAGUUGUGCUAAUUGCACAAUCCAACGUCAUCUGAAUUUACGUGGCUUAUAUUAAUAUUUUGAUUAGACUUUUUCUUCUGAACAACUCCUUUAUUGAAAGGGUCAAAUGACCUUGAUGUCUAGAAGCUGUUAUGCUGAAGGUAACAGGAUACACUUCUAUUGUUUCGCACAGGUUUAAGUGUUAUUUUUUGGUUGUUACAUUCAGAGUGUAGAUCAUCCGUGCCAGAAACCACAUCUGCUUUUAGGUGGAUGAAAGAUCUUAGCUAUGUAGGUAACAUUUCAGAGUCUCUUUUUGCCGUUGGAGAAGAUCUGUUUGGUUUUACACCAAUUCUCGGAGCUUUGUUUUGACCUUGGCGGCUCGCUGCUGUGCUGCUUUCAUAGACAGGGUUUUAGAACUGAACUCAGGUAACUUGAUCUUAGAGGUGUUUAGCGCCUCUAUAGGGUGGAAGCUAAAUGGACAACUAAUAUUACGGACUGUUGUGGUUUUUGUGAAAGAGGACAUCCAUUUGUCAUCAGUCGCCUUUGUUAUUUAUGUCUGAUAUAUGACUUUCCAGAGGGAAGAAAAAAAAUGAAAGUUACAGGUUAAUCAGUGGUUGUGUAACUGUUGAACAAAACUAUCACAACAGUGGUCAUUGUAGACAGGGGUAAAAUUUAGUAACAGUUUUUACUGUAACUCGAAUAUACUGUAAUUUCUCUUGAUUCGUAUUAUUCUUAUUAGAGCUAUUCAUAGACUGUGUUGGUUUUGGGUUGUUUUUGUGGUUUUUUGUUUUCUUCUAUUCUGCUGGUUGUCAUGGAGCACCUGAAAGAGGUGUCUGAGAGGCUGAAAAACCUUUCAGCAGGUGCGAAAUCAAGAAGUCAGGUAACUUCAUUCAUAUAGCUACUGUCUUUUGUAGCAUUUAACAUUGCAAUUUCCCAAACGUUUGGAGUCUUUGUGCCUGAGGCUAUGGUAGCAUCAUAAGUAGACACACAGUAGAUUUAUAUUUAGAAUUAAACGUCACGGCUGUUUAGAUUUUUAGCACACAUGUACGGUGUAAAUUAAGUGCCUUGAAUUCAAAUGUUAGGAAGUAUUGGUAGGAAGGGUAAUCAAUAAAUAGGCCUGCCUAACUACUUGGGGAAAAAAUUACUAAUAAUUAGUACUUAGAAAACAUAUAGUGAGGAACUUAAUUUAAAAAUAAAUUAAUCAACUCGCUGUUUUGUGUGUAGUGAAGGUCAGUUUUGGAGGGUAAGAUCUGAGCCCUUUAAGAGCCAGUAGCACCUUGCCCUUGUCUGACCGCACUCUUCCAAGGCUGCCCUGCUUAGGGUACAGCGUGUAGUUGUGCUCCGUGGUCAGGGUCUGCUGUGUCCUCCCUUGGACGGGCUUCGACAACAAGUGCCCAUCCUCUCCCUGUCUAUAGCUGCUAAGUUGUUUAAUCCCCUGUGAUCCUGCUCGAGCACAUGCUGAAGAUUUACCUAUGAACCCUCCACAUACUCUCAGCAGUUUCUUUUUUAACUGUGAUACCAGUGACUAAGCUAAUCCAUUAAUUUAUAUCCAUUAGUGUUGUUAUAUAUAACUAUGAAUAGUGACUAUAAUGUGAUGAAGAGCGAACCCAGCUAUAUUAGUUACCUUUGGGAAAUGGAUUUUUGCAGUUCUGUAAAUCAAAGGCGCCGUUUCAUACACAUAAAUGCUCUCACUUCAAACAUGCAUGUAAAUACUAGCUAGAGUUUUGAAGUCACAUCAUUUGGGGUCAUUAUGCUUGCUUCCUAAUUAGUUCUACCUUCGAAAUUUUUGCAGUGUUAAGUUUUUGCUGACAGAUUUGCUAAUUGGCAGGUAUUUCAGCUGUGAAACAGAGUGAGAGUAUGUGCUUUGAAUUUUUUAUUUUGGUUCCCUGUCUGGAGAAGAGUGUUGUCCUUUUAGAUCAUAUUGCUCCAAAAAAUGGAAAUUUCUGAAUGAAGAUAAAAUUUGGGCUUUUAUGCCAGGUCCAGGUAUGAAUGGUGUACCCCCAAAUUACUCUAAUUAAGCAGUCACUUUUUUGGAGUCAUGCUUGAAGUUUAUCCUGCAGCAUAAUGUAGUUUUCCUUUCAGUGUGAGGAAAGAAGAUAAUACAGACUUUAUGGCAAACAGUAUUUUGGUUUGCUAUCAUUUUUAGGUGUGUUUCAGCUAUUUCUGAAGCAGCUAGCUAGAGUACUGCAUAAAAUAGGCCAAAUACGGCUCUAAUUUUGUUCUAUCUUAGGAAGAGUCUCAGAUGUAGCAAAAGUCAGGCCUGAAUAAAAGACGCUUACGUUCUGCUGUAUUUUCUUUCUAAAUACGUGAAUGCUGUAUGAGUUGUGUUGUAAACCAAGGAGAUUAGCUCUAGAUGCAUUUGCCGAGUGUGCUCAGGUAGAAUAAUCUAUUGCUUCUGCUUUCUCGCUACAGCUGACAGGUUUUCUUCAGUCUUGUCAUUGGAGUUGUUUUCAGAUUGAUAAAAAUGUUUCACCUUUUAAAGAUAUUCAAAUUUUCACUUAAACGUGUGUAAAUUAUUUGAAGUAUAUGCAACUUAUAUUUAGGUUAGAUUAAUUUUCAGUAAAGAAGGUUAAAGCAAUGUAAUCAAAAGCUGUUCUGAUUUAACACAUCAAUAAUGGACAAGUCCAAAACAAGUGUGUGGUUAUAUUCUAAAAGUUUUCAACUAUAUGCUCGUAUUAAAGAACAGAAUGAAAGGUGCUGAUCUUUUGUGUAAAUACAUAUAUGUAGUAUUUGUAAUACGUUUAGAUUAAUUUUGUGAGUCUUCAAAUUAAAUUAGGAUUUAAUGUUGAAAUAUGAAAGAAAACAUUUGUGACUGAGAAAAUUAUUCGAGAGUGUAGAAGAGAACCUAUCUGAAAAUCAUUAUAACUUUACACAUGUAGUAAUUAUUCCACAAAAAAUAUUAGAUGUGGGCAGGGGGACCCUGUGUACUAAUUAUUUUCCAUUUUGAUUUAAUCAGAUGUAGUUAGCAGAAAAUAUCCCAGUAAUGUUUUCAUAGGUAGCUUUAACGUAACAGCUGCAGUUCUACCAGUAAUACUUUACUAAAUUAUUCUUGCAUUCGGAUGACAGUUUCUGAGUUAGAGACUUUAUUUUUUUUUUAAGAAUCUAAGUGACGAUGGACUCACCCUCCUUCUAGGUCAUUCAUUCUUGUGGGCUGUUUUUCUUAGUUUAACACAUUAUUCCUAAUUUCUACUCUAGAAUUUGUCUAACUUUUGUUUUCACUCUUUUGAUUUCUUAACAUAUGAAAAAGAGAAAUUGUUUGUUUGUUUUUUUAUAAGUGAGUUCUUACUGAAUAUCAUCCUUCUAGAGACAUUUAGAUUUUGAGAAUAGAAGAUGAAUUAAUGCUGUGUUUGUACUGGUUUAUUCUUAUCUUUAUGAAGAAGAAUGAUUGUCACUAUUAAUGUUGGACAUAUGAAGCAGUAAAAGGUUUGCCAUUAGAAACUGUUUGCAAAAUGUGUUUAUUUUGUACCUUGGUGCUGAUAAACACAAUGGAUUUUUGUUUGCAGAAUCAUCAUGACAUUGAAAGAUGUUAUAUAACCCCUGUAGUUUUGGUUGGUGGGAACUCAAUAUUAUGUAAAUAUCAGAACAACCCAGCUGACUGCAGCAGGAGGUUAUAGCACAAUCAGAUUGAUUUUCCAUAAUGAAUGUUAAUAAUGAUCAGUUAAUAUUAACUACUUCUUGCUGGUGUGUGAUAACAAAGGCUCCUGUUAAGUUGGGGAUAAUGUGACAGAGCUUUUAGCGUUGGAUGACAUCUCGUACUGGCCUGGACAAAGUCCAUCCUGUCAAAAUAUCGUCAGUUAAAGAUGCUGUGGGGGCCUUUGUCCUGCUCUGCUUGCUCCUGCCUCGGUACGUCUCAAAAUAUUUUGAGCAAGCAUCUAGAUAAGUCACAAAAGUAGAACUGCUUCAAAGGUCAUGAUGACUUUGCAUAAUAUGAGUCCAUUAGAUGCGGUAAUCAAUAUCAAGCUUUUGGAUCUUAUGAAUAUUGAUGAAGCAAUUGUAGCAGGGAGGUAGAUGGGGAAUUGAGAUGCCUUUUGAUAUAAUCAGAGAAACAGUUAAUGGCCUAGGUAGAAUAUGGGUCCAGUAACUACCUUAUAACAUUUUGGAACAUUCUAAGUCAUCAUUAAUAAUGGAAAAGCCAUAAUGGCAUUUGCAGGGGGGAAAAAUAUUGUACAAGGCUUGCAUUGCAUUGCAUUGCAUUCGGCCCACACAAUGCUUCUGCUUCUGGUGUCACUGCAUUGUGUGAAAUAUUGUAAAAUCAGUGAAUUAUGUCACCUUUUUAAUAGAAAGCAAUAUCAAAGAAAAAGAGAAGCUGGGUAACAGGUCACUGCUCACCUACUGCAGCAGCACACUGAACCCGAGAAAGCUGGGAGAGAUGUCUGGCAUCCUGCAUGCUCAGUGAUUUGAACUGCUCGUCUCUGAGUUGGUUGUUUGGUUGUUUUGGUUUCGUGUUUUUGUUUUUGUCCUUAUGAGUCCCUCUUUUCCAUAGAGGAAAAAGAAUCGGGAAGGUUUUGUGGGGAGCCAUGGAGCAUUAAGCUCACAGUUGUGAGCCUCUUCAGGCCUGUGCUCAGGGAAGUGGCCGCAUCCCUCUGAGCCCCCAUAAGCAGUACAGAGACUUCUGAAAAUCUCUGCAAUCGCACCUGAAAUGUAAGAGCUGGCUGAAAUACGUUAUGCUGGUGUUACGGAGUUCACAAGCACACGUGCUUGUCAUUGUAUUGUGUAAUUAUCUAAUCGCCAGCUCAGGUAUCAGUCUGCAAAAUGGAGUAAACAAAAAUUUCUUACCUUGCAGAGUUUGACCCGAACAUAUGUCGAUAACUGACUUGUGAACAUAUGGAGACUGAGGUCAGUUCAGGCCUUGUCCUGAGCAUGGGACAUAUCAGUCAGAUGGAAGAGAGCAAGGGAAAAGUUGCAGAAAAUGUAAAGAGAAAAAGGUGCUGCUUUAUAAACUAAGAGAAGAGUCCCUGACAGAAGCAUGCCAUUUUUAAUGUGAAUUCAGUACAAAAGCUCUGGCCUAUGAAAAGCAGGUUCACAGUUUUCAUUUCAUGCUGCUUUGUCUGCAGAAGCAACAAACAUGGUUUUGAAGCCACGGUGUUUCUCCUUCAGCAGUGGAAAUGUAUGGCUCUGCAUUGAAAGUCUAGGUCAAGGUUAUUGUGCUCAGAAACAUUCAUCAGAAACGUGGUUCUCCUGCAACAACCAGCGCACUCAGGUUUUUUUAGAUAAAACCAGAGGGAAGAAUUCAGGAUUGCAUCUUUUACUUUGGAAAAUCACACAGCUUUCAGAUGCAGUGGAAGUGCAUGUGAUUAAUACACACAGCGAGGGCAAAAUACAGUUAGAGCGACAAAAAAAAAGUGACAGAGGAUAUUUCAAAAAAUAGAUUUCCAGAUAGUAAUAAGUACAUUUAGCUGCAAUUGUUCUAUGGUGACUAAAAUAAAUACCUAAAAAUAGAUGUUGUCUAUAAAUAAGGUUUUGGCUUAAUGCCAAUUUUGUCUGCUGUUUGUGGAAAAGCAGAGGCAAAAAAAAAAAAAGCAGUAUCUGUGACUAGUUUUCCACUAUAUGACCUAUUUUGACCCUUACUCUAGCACUGCUGAAAUGAGACCAGCGUGGCUGAAAAUUGUUGUCCACAAGUUCCAUGCCAGCAAAGAACUCCACUAGGGACACUCGAAGGAAAAUAGGCAUAGCGGUUUUGAGAGUCGAGUUUGAACUUACAAAGGAAUUAAUGUUUUAUAACAUUUUUUUUGUUGAAUAUCACCACUAGAAUGUGUGACUUGGACUAGAUUUGGUUGUCUUUAGUAAAUACUCUUUAGUUUUUAAUAUAUUUUAGAGAUUAUUAUUAUUGUUAUCGUUGGUGUAUUACGCCUCUUUUCUAUUCUGGAAUAAUUUUGGAAGGCACUUCUUCUUCUAGAUAGUGCUGAGGUGCUACAGAUGUCACCAAACAGGCCAGCUGAGAACUUUCUCAUCUUGUACUGUGCUCCUGCUGAAGUUGGUGUCCAGCUGGACACUGACAGUGGCUCACACUUGACAUAGAGUUAUUCUUUGAUGGUCACCCACCAUUGCUGACUGCUGUUUCACUACCUGUUGUCCUUGGAAUAUUUUUUUUGGUAUUGCUCGGUAUCAAACAGAAAUCUCUACAUGAAAUUUCACUAACCACUUAUGACAGUUUCAUUAGACAUGCCCAAACUUGAAGGCUUUGGACAUUUUUAACUGUACUUUUAAAAAAUAACAUACACCUUUUACUGUCUGGAAUUACUCUGCUUCUCUGUAACAACUGGUAACACAAUUAGGAUAUUUUGCUCUCUGGCCAUUACCUUUGUAUUUUUGAUUUAUAAACAUAUUUCUGAAGUUCAAAGCUAGACCUUGUAAGUUCAUUCAUUACUUAAGUCUUCCUGUUUUCUUUGCCAGAGAUAUAAGCAUACAGAUGCUAUAAUAUUUUUCACCCAUUUUUUUUUGCACACUCUGCACAUGACCACUAAAUUGAGAUCACUGCACUGUGUCACACUUAGUAUCCCUUAGUUCUUGCCUGCAUGUAUGUUUUCAGCUUCUCCUUAAUAAUCCAGUAGAAAUUGCUUCUGUAUCUUGCACAUAGUUUAGUAAAGUAUGUAUUUUGUUUUGCUAUGUUUCUAUGAGUUCCUGCACCUAAAUUUUAGAAAAUGGCUUCUCCAUCUUACAAACUGAUUCCAUUCCUCCUUUGUUUUCAGAAAGUGCUUUUUCACACAAAGCUGGGAAUGCAAACUCCUUUAAAAAUGCCUUUGUGAGAAAGUCAUUCUUCCUUCUCACAAUCUUACUAUGGUUUUAUUAACAAUUGGUUUAAAUUGUACAGGAUCCAUUCUAAUCUUGAAUUAUAGCUGUCAUUAGUCCCGAACAGUGAACCACCAACAUAUGGCUCUAAAGAUAUUUAUUCCUCAGCUGUUUUUUUGUUGUUAAUACUAACUUGCUCCAGAACAUCCCAGCUUUUUGCGCUGUCCAGCAAGCUGCGUGGUCACUGCUGGGCAAAUACUUUCCAUGCUGCAUCUCUGCCUGUUCUUACUUGUUAUACAGAAGGGGGAGACAGGACAACUGUGAAGUUGCUACUGCUUUGCUCAGAUUUGUACUGGUUUUGGCUUUCACUUCUUUUUGUCUUGUUCCUUGGACAGACAAGGUUCCUCCUGCAGAUGGGAAUACCAAUUCUCAGAAGAGAAAUUUUAGACCCUUUUUGGCCUAUGAAGUUUUCCUUUGCACUUUGGGGGUUUCUUGGCUCUGUUGUAGGUGAGGUUUUGUUCUGUGUAGGUUUUUGUUGUUGUGGAGGGUUUUUAUGUGAUUUUUUUCCCCCCCUAGACUUCUUUUAAAAGUAAUUUUUAGGUAUUCCCUAGACAGACUGUGUCCCAGGUGACAUAAUAAUUAGGCUUAGUUUCUGAGCUGUUUUGUUUAGUGAUACACAUGUGAACAUGGGCAUUAAAGUAACCUUCAAAAUCUGGGCAUUUUUAUCUGUUCUCAAAAAAUCUCUUCUGCUACCAAGUAUCCUACUAAGAUCACCAUAAUGGUCUGUUAUUUUCUGUCUUUCUAUUCUUCUUUUUAAACUUGUAAGGCAAAAAUUUAUAGUUUUAAUUUUUUCUUAAUCUCAACAAUUUUUUAACCUGAAUGGGAAAAAUAUGGGAGCCCUCUGGUGGCUGCUCCAACAUCUGCAGAUGUCCCUGCAAAUGACAGCAUAAAACAUGAGGUUGGUUACCAAUCUGCCACCAAAGUGGGAAAAACCCAAGAUGCAUGCUUAUUCUCAAAUGCAGUCAGUUUAAAUACUAUUAGUCACACUUCUGAUAAUAUUUUAGCUUCUUCAGUUGCUACCAGUUUUCUAUAAUAAUUGCAAUUUAAAUAAAAAUUCUGAAACCCUUCUAUCUAUAUGUAUUGUUUACAACAUUAUUUGCAUGUAUCACUGGUUUGUAUGUGCCUAUGGCAAGGUCUUGGGGAAGAGAUGCCCAUUCGUGUGAAUUAUGAACCCCCUCCACCUGAGGUCAUCCCAGCUUAUUAGGGAGACACAACCACAGCCCAAACCCUGACCUUUGCUGGUGAAGCGCACUACAUAAUGCAGUCCUCUGUAGUUUUAUUUGUUAUUUUGCUUUCCUGUAAGGCCCUGGCCCGUGCCCUGAGGGCUAUUCUGUUUGAGGAUUUCAGAAAAAUCAAGGCAAAGAACACUUGCAUGUCAUGUAAAAAUAAAGGGAUUCAGCUUGCUUAUUGUUUCAGAUGGUUGGAGAGGCUAACAAUUUUGAGAAAUGAGCGAGUUAUUUAAGAUACAGACAGGACUGUUAUGCUCUCUUUCUCCCUUGGGUACUCUUGGAUUCAAAGUGUACAUACAUGGUUUCACUAGCUGGAGGAAAAGGAAUCAAAUGCCUCUGGAACCAGUUAUAUAAAAGCAAAAAAGCUCUUACUGUCUUUAAACGUAAGGAGUGGUUUUGGGGAAAAAAAAUUACCUUAUUUUUUUUUUACCAAGGUUCAAAAGAAAUUAAAUUAUUUCCUAUUUAUCCCUUAUCAGUGGGUUUGGUUUUUUGGUUUUUUGUUUGUUUGUUUGUUUUCGUGGGUUUACUUUUUUUUUUUUUUUUUUUUUAAAGAUUGCAGACCAAAUCUACGUCUAAACCAUUUUUUGGAAAAAAAAAAGUUAUCUUUAUUUUUUAGCUAUGACAGCAAUGUUGUAUGGCCUGUCUGAAAUCACACUGGACAGGUCUCCUGGAUCAGAAGGUUGAAGCCUCUUCUGUUCAAGUCCUGGCGCCAUCUCUUAUCUACAUUGUUCAAUCUGAUCAAUCCCUAUAAAUCACUUAAGAGUUGCCAACUGGAUGAAAGGAAAGGGAGGAGAAAGAAAAACCGUAUGAAAUACUCUAGUGUACAUAUUGGAAAACAGUAACUCUUUCACAUUGAGUCUUUAUGAGGGUUGUAUUGCUCCACACAGCCAAAGCCUCAGGGUGCCUUGCCUUCUGCUCUUUUUUAAUGUGUAAAAAAAGCACUUUUUCUGAAAUAAGAGCAUCUGUGGUGGGAGCUGCUGUAGAACAGCCGUUCCAACUUGCUUCUCCAUGUAGACAAGCACUUACAUUGUACUUGCCAUCCUUUUUGGACCACUACAAAGCUCUCUUUCUUAUAAACUUGGCAACUAAACAUUUGGAAAAAUUUAACUAAUUUUGCCAGUUCAAAAUAUUUCUGGUGACUGUGCCACUCAUAACAGUAUCAUAAGCAGAUGAGACUUUGUUUUUUUCAGUGCUGUAGUAAGGUAGAACACCUCUCCAAAUUUAGGAAUUUGAUUGUAUACCAAUACAAUAGAAAUAACCUUUUCCAUUCCUCCUUAGUGUUCGAUGCUGCUGUCCCAGCUCCAACUAAGUGUAACAAUAGAGUAUUUAGACAAAAAAGAUAUUUGCAAUUGAAUAAUAUGACUAUUCUUCAAAUUGAAAAUGCAAUGAGCAGACAAAUCCAAUCGUACUACUUAUGACUUAUGCAUGGUGGCUGGUAGUGUUAUUACAUUAGUCUAAUAGAGCUGACUGCUGAAAAAUGUCAUGAAUUUCUGGGAAUGUAAAAUGUGGACUUCCUAUGAAUGAUUUAAAUUGGCAUAGUGACAAUACAUCAUUCCACACAAAAAAUCCCAAAUGUUUCUUCAUGUCAUUUAAAUGAUACUUGAUUGUGCUGCUGGAAAUUAUUUUUCCUCUCCUCUGCCUCUCCUGAGUGUGCUGUGGUGGUGAAUAAUGUGUUCCAAAAGACCAAAAAGGAAGGAGCACAGGUAAUAAGAUUAUUAGAAAGCCUCAUGGUGAAACUAGAAGCAUGAAGGGAAGUUCAGUUUUGUGGUUAGCAGUAAUAGAAGCUAGAGCAAAAUUCCAGAAACUGAAGGGGAAAAAAAGUGGUGGAAAAUCACUGUAGUUGGGGUUGUUUUUGUUUUGUCUUUUGAUUUACACAGAAGUAAUAAAGGAGUCAUUUUUCCUCAGGAUGGUCAGGAAUUUGAUGUUCUUGAGUGAAAAAUAGCAUUAUGCGAGAAGAUUGCAGAAAUAUAGUCUUUAUUUGUAUAAUAAUCAAGUUUUCAGCUGUCAAAUAUGCAGAACACUUGAAUGAGUAGAUAGAGCACAGUUCAUAUUGAGACCUUUCAAGUAGUCGCAAAGAAAACAUUCCAAACAUGAAAAGAGCUUCAGAAGUGUUAAAAUUAUUUCCUGAGUUUGCAAGAGAGCCUGAAACAAUAGCUAUGAAGUGUGAAUUGCUUCCUUCAUUUUGGUUAAAUGUAAAUGAAUUAACUUGCUUGUAUGUGCCUACUUUGCUAAAUCCUAGUUCCGAUAACUAGGAUUUAGGAAAGAUGAUUUAUGGACCAUAUCUAUUUAGUCACGUCUGCAAAUCCACAGGACUUUCAUUUUCACCUUUAAAUUUCCACCUGACCCCGAAUUCCUAAAACUUCAUCAUCCGGUUUUACAGGUAAGCGAACGUUUGUUUCAUGGGGGUUGUUUGGCUUUCCUCUACCUUUAGGAAGUCCUUACGUAUUUCAAGCACGAUGAAGGCUGUUACUAAUCUUUCUACAGAAGAUGGAGUGGCCAGGGAAGGAUCUUCCUCUGCUUUUUCCUUAGUCCUUUGCUGUGUAUCUGUGCAGGGAAAAGAGCAAAUUGGGCUGCAAAUUGGGUAUGUGACAACCAGAGUGGGUCUGUUGGCAGGGUCUGGCACACCAGGCUGUCACCCACACAAGGUGGUUACCUGGUACUCCAAGACCAACUCCACUGCAGUGCAAUAUGAGCAAAUAUGAAGUGGUGUUAAGAAAGGAAUGCAGCAACAAUGCUAGAAGUAUGAAAAAUAUUGUUAAACAAGUAAGUUCAUGCUAUGUUUUAUUUCUGUUGUCAUUUUUGUUACUCGAAGUGGUUGUUGCACAUGCAGAAUAGUCCUGGAAAAGGGUAGUAAAGUCUGUGAUGGACUUCUGCGCAUGAGGAGAUGAUUAUACUGGUUAUCAUAGUAAAAUAGUGAUUGAACAGCAUAGCAGGGACAUAUGUAAUGGUCGUUAAGGAACAUAUUUCUGUAAACAUUUCCUGACAAAUGUUUGAGAAAGCUCCAGUAAAACCAGAAGCAACCACUUUUAAAACUUGAUCACAGGAAAUCGUAGUCAACAGGGCUGAUACUCAGCAGAAUAUUUGGUCACAGGGAAAAUUUUGUCACAUCCAUAAAUAGCAUACAAAUCUGAAGACUUUAAUGUAUAAAAGGUAUUGGAAGUUUAUUCCAAGUUAAUUACACUGUGUCCAUAAUCUGCUGGAGCAGUUUUUACCCAGACUGCUUUGCAGACUGAGUGAGCAGGUGUGUUACGGAAGUGGUUUCACCUGCAAUUCCUUGUAUUUUCUGUAAAACAUUAUCCAAAGUCAAAUGAAAUGGUAGAAAGGCUCCCAUUGCAUCAAAUUAGGCUCUUGACACACAGUUUGGUUCCCAGAAGAUGAUUUUCAGAUGUGCUGAAGUGCCAAGCACUCUGCCAUUUUUGAAAGUCCAAGCCUGAGGGCCUGGAGGAGAAGUAAUGUAAAAUACAUAUGAGAUUUGCCCUCUUACUGUGUUCACUAGUAUGUAAUGCAACAAGAAAACAAAAAGUAGAUGCAAAAAGGAUCAGGGAGCUUUCUUCUUCCAUGCCUGUAGCAAUGAUUGUUUUCCUGAUAGUCGGAAGUCCUCUAGGCACUGGAUUUCAUCUCUUGAAGGUAUCACUAAAGAUAUAAUGGUUCUGGAGGACUGGCAGCUUCUGUUGUUGAGUUGCAAAUGCAUUUUGAGGAGACAGUCCAGGGAAGAGUGAAUUAUUUAUCUUAGUAAACAAUGCUACUUGCAUUAAAUUACAUAUUCAGCUUUUAUAUUCACAGCUAACAGAUCUUUUCAGAUCUGUUUUAUGACAGGGAACUUUUGUAGAAAACUUCUUCCAUGCCCUGUUAUUCGAUUACGUAUCAUUUUUAAAUGGCUACUGGGAGGAAUAAAAAUUGAUUUGAGAUUCACUUGAACCCCACAGUCAAAAUUUUUAUUGAAGAUUAAUUAGGUUCUUUUUUGUUGUUUGUUACAGUUCUCAAAAUCAGUCUAUCUAGUCUAUCUGGUUUUUAAAUGGUUGCUCUGGAGCAAAAAAUUAAAAUAUCUGAUUUUUAACUUCCUGGGGUUUUCGUGCUAGAUUAUUCAAAGUUAUAGGAAACUAUUCUCUAUGCAUACCUACUUGCAUACGUAUAUUUUAGGUUAAAUUCUCCAAAAGCAUAUUUUUUGCUUUUCUUGUAACCUCCCUAAGCCAGCAUUAAUUUGUGCACUGCUGUUAAGGACCCAUAAGGGGGAAGACUUGGCUUCAGAAUCACUGGAGGGUAUGAAUUUAUUUCUUUCAGCUCUCUCAGAUAUAGAGUAAUAAAUCUCUUCUGAGAAUCAACAGCUGUACUGGACCAGAAAAGCUGUUUCUUUCUUUACAUUCUAGAAAUGGAAGAAAACAGAUUUACAAAAAAAAAAAAGUAUAUUAAAAUUAAGUCGUGCUGUUUCAGACAGCGAUGUUUUGCUACCCUAAUUUUUCUUUUCCUACUGGUAUAAUUUAUGGAGUUACAACUUCAUCAACAUUCUCACUGGAUUUGUAUUAAUUUUAACUAUUGAUAUUUGGAUUGCUGUUAAAAGUCUUAUAAGUAAUUCAUUGCUUGUUAAUGCUCUCCUGCAUAGGGCUUUAAAUUCUUGCCAUAAAAUUUAUUAUCUAGCAGUACCUUUUCUGUUGGCAUUUAAUAUUUUCUAGCUUAUUCAUGUAUAACUUUCAAGAUGAAUGCAGUAUUAAUAUUACCUUUUCUACAGUUUCCUCGCUAGCCUUAAUCAUCUUUAGUGCAGCAGCACAGGAAACUAUUCCAGAAAGGUGAUUCUUAGUGAAUGGCAUUAAUAUUGAUAGCACAUAAUUAAGUAAAAAAAUGUGUAAAGACUGUAGCAGCACUGGGUGUUUAUACUGCACUUACAAAAAGGCAGGUUAAUUUUAAGUAUUAAUACUUUCUGUAUUCAAUAAAACUUUAAAAAUCAGGCAUCCGUCUUUCCCAUCAGCAAUUUCUGAGUCUUACCAAAGAGAGGUAGAGAAAGUCAGUUGCACUCAUAGUACAACAUGCAGCUUAUUAACAAAGUUUAUUUCUCUUUUCAGAUGCUUGAGGCAAGUCGAAUUGUGGAAUCUCUUCUGAGAUUAAAGUUAUUAGGAACAGAAAGUCAAGUUAUUAACCUCUAGAGAUUUAGAUUUAGUUGCACAGUGUAAGAGUGCCAAUUGUAAUUUUGUUUGGUGGGGGACACUUUACAACUUCAUGUGAUUUGGCCUUAUUGUGUGUGUGCAUGUGUGUACUAGUUUAGGUACUGCUUUUUCUCUAAGAUUCCAAAGGACUGAAGUGAACUUAAUUGAGUAGCAACACUAUUCCUUUUUACAUUUGAAAGCUCCAUUAAAAAAAAAAUCAAAACUUCAGCGUAAUUAUCUGUAAUUAUUUUAAGAUCUUGAAAAAUUAUCAAGCUAUUUGCAACUUUUAGUUCGGUGAACAAGUGACCUCUUUUUGGAAAUCUUGCAGCAGGAAUGGUUAAUGGUGCUGAUAGUUCCAGAUCUUGACUUUACUCUAGUUGCCAGCAUUUCAUCAGAGAAUAUACCUGCUCUUUAUAUCUGUUAUAGUGAUCCAUAGAUUAGAAGGUAUUUGAAAUUGUUAUGAAGUUGGCACUACUGGACUUGCAACUUCAAACAGCGAGGGUUGUGAGGUGGGAGGAGAGGCAAUAUAUUGGAAUUUUUUUGUGGUUGUUGUGGUUGGUUUUGGUUUGUUUGUUGUUUUUACAACAAUCCAUUGUUUUUUCUUUCUGUCUGAAGAGACCUUUGGGCUUCAUAUCUACUCAGUUGAAGGGGGUUAUCUAUUUUACAAGGAAUAGAAACUAUUUUUGCAGUGAAAGUUUACAUCAUUGAGGAAUCAAUAAGGCAAUCACUAGACUGAAGGAAUAAUUUGUUGUAAAAUUAAAAGAUGGUAUCAAAAGUUGUAUCACAGAAAUGCUUUUUAUCUGUAUGUUGUCCUUACAGACAUUUAAUCUCUUCAUGUUUAGAAGUUUUCUUCACCAUUAGCUACUGUGGUCGUUUAAAGGAAAUAUAAAAGCUGGUGAUGGAUUAGGAACUGAUUAUUUAAUCAUUUUUUUCUACUACAGUGUUAUCCGCUAUGUCUAAUGAUUGCCGGAUGCAUGCUCUUGACCUAGACCAAACAUCAAGUUCUUAAUGCUGUUUCAUUUUGGAGUAUUGAUGAAUUGUUAAUUUAAGUUCAUAUUUUACUUUGUAGAAAUUUGCUUGUGUCUUCAACCUCUUAGCUGACUGUAGUGAAGCCAUGCUGCUGGGCCUCAUAAAUGGGAUGGGAGUUCUCUGUGUCUCUCCCGUCCUAGCCAGCCAAAUUGACAGGAGUAUCCCAGUGGCAAUGACCUGCUCUGCUCUUGUGUAGAGAGCUGUUUUGACCACAGGCACUUUUAGUUUUCUGAUGUCCUGCUGAUGAGUAUUUCUCCUUCUGUGUCUGUUUUGUCAGCCAGAGGUUACCCUACUGUGUUUGUUUUCAGAAGGCUGAAAUCUGCAUUUGGGUUACCAAAGUUAGUAGCUAACCCUGCUCCAUAUUUUGUACUUAAAUGAAAGACUGUUUUUUUGGAAAGUGUUCAUAAUCCACACUCAUAUCCAGAUAUGGGUGACUGACAAUAUUUCCUAGUAAUAUCAAAAUUGAUUCAGAUUCCAGUGCACGAAGUCCACUGUCCUUUACAUGCACUGACUACGUGUCCUGGGCUCAUCAUGGAGUGAGUUAUCCCUGGGGGAUGGCUUUCAGACUAGAAGAAAACCACUUUUUUAUGCUCUGUACUUAAGUAUCUACAUGUAACCUGUUCUACUGAAACCUUUUUGGUAUGGCUAAACUGGUAAAAGGCGUUUUAGUGCGAGGGUGUGCUGUAUGCUUCUACUUUAUAUUGUGAUUGCUGUUCCUCUAAGGACUGGGGAAAAAAAUAUACUUUAGUGAUCAUCACAACAGACUUGGAGCAGGGAUUGUUCCUACACAUUUGUUCUUGCAAAUUAUCAGAUCCUUCACUGAAGGAACUGUAUUUCAAUUUAUAUGCUCACAAUUAUGGUUUCUAGACCAGGCCUCCAUUUUUAUGAACGUUUGAAUUAGUGCAAAUACUUGAUGAAUGAGUCCUUUUGAAGUUCAGGAGCAACACACAAUAGGAUGAUGGAAACUUUACGGCAGAAUUUAGUGCUUGCAAGAAAACCAUAAAAUGACAGAUUUUUAAGAAGUAAAGUAUGUAUUUGAAAUCCAGCUUAUGUUCCUAAACUGAUGGAUUGUUAUGCUUUGAAGAACCAUUUUUCACCAGAGUGUAGAUGAAGACUAUUGCUACAGUUCUAUCUCCCACAAAGAAAGAUGUCUGGCAUACGUUGUAAUAAGGCGUUCCUUUUGUGCAGCUCUACAUCAUCUGGUUUGAAGUGGGAAUAAUGUUGUGACAGGACCAUGAACAGUCUGCCCGUUUUGCCUUCUUGUUCAUUCAAAUCGGAGAAGAAAACAGGUACUGAAAGGCAGUAAUGGUUUGUCUCUGUGUAGUCAUGAGGAGGAUUCACCUGCAGUGAUAGGUAACCUGACCAGCGAAAGAAACUCUGCUUGGCAGAGUAAAGGGCUUGCGCAAUACAAACCAAAACGUGGCUACUGCAGCUAAUUUUAGACUUUCUGGCCUUGACAAUGACCUUUAUUUCAGUUAUAUUUAUUUAUAUAUUUAUUUAUGCUUUUGUUAGGUCCUCAGGCCAUGUGAGUUAUGGCAGAAUGCCUGGAUUUCAGCCCUUGAAUUUGGCUAGUUAUUUGUCCCCCGCAGACAAAUAUUCUGAGUGCUGGUCUCUCCCCAGGAUAUCCAUUUACUCCUCUACUGCAUUCUGACUAUUUAUUAUAGCUAUGUAAAAGAGCAUUAUGAAUGACAGAUAAAAAUCUUUUGGCGAGUUUUUGUCCACAAAAAUCUUACUCUCUAGCUUAAGCUAAAUGUGUUUGGGUUUGGGUUUUUUGUUGCUGUUGGUUUUUGUGGUUUUGUUUUUGUUUGUUUUUUUUUUUUUCUAGGUAACCAGCUUGUGUCCUUCAGAUGUUACAAAUGUUGUGUCCAGGUGUCUGAAACAAGCAGUCCCUUGGGCUAAGAUGGAGUCAAGUGUUGAAUUUUUCCUUUUUUGCCAUCCUGACAUAGUAGAGGCCUGCAGAUGGGCAUGUAAUGCAGGAUGUUGCUUGCUGUGUGAAAAGAUAUAUGUGCUUUGUACCAGAAGUUUUGAAGAAUGGUGCUUUUUAAUUGAGAUUUUAGCACCUCCAUAAUUCUUUUCUCCAUUUCUCUGAGUCAGAGGAAUGCUGUACAGCUGCUUGCCAUUGGAAGUUGAAGGAUCGGGGAGAAGAGAGAGAGAAAGAAGUAGCAUGACCUGAGGCUAUUACUGUCUUAUGAGUUUGCAGGCAUAUGUUAUUAAAUCCCAUACAAAUUUUUGGGUGUGCUUUUAUCUGUCGUCAUUGGACAGAUACAAAGCCACGCUCUAGUGAAGAAAGAAGGCUCUUUCCCUAACUUCUAGUUUGGAACAGAUACAUUUACACCUGGCUGUAUUGUGUACCUGGCAAUUGUGUUAUGGGUCACUGCAAGAUUAAAAUUAUUUGAAUGAGAGCAGCAACAGAGCCUAGCACUGGAGUUCAGUAGCUGCUGUGUUAAUACCAAGUUCCUUGGUCAGGAGGUCAGUCAUGGGCUCAUUUCACUUCUUUUGUUUUACAAAAUCAAAGUGGUGUCCAAAAUAAAUUAAUUAUAUAUAGUCUUCAGCUAUGGCCAAUUAUGAAAGUUUAAAGACUUCAGUUGUGUGUAUUAUCUGGAACAGAAAGGGAGAACUGUAGGACCCCUUAAGAAUUAGGAAUAAAUUUUCCAAGUGACAAGCUAUUGUUUGACAAUCUACCCCAUGGAGUGGUUAUUCUUUUAUUCUGAAGCAUCUGCUAUUUUGGCAACUCUUGGAUGAAACAGAGUUGAAUGUGUCCAUCCAUAUAGCAGUUUCUGUGCCGCUGUGUCAGUAAUUUUUCUUAGUGGGUAUAGGCUAAGGCAGUUUUUCCUUGAUUCCCUUCAUGAGGUAUUAACCUCCUGUACCACUAUUAUUAGGUACCCGCAUUGCCAGCUUUGCAUAUUUGGUUUCUCCUUCACUGUAUGAGUCUCUAAGAGACACAUUAGCAGGGUGUAACUUAAUUUUCUCAGAAUCUUAUUGGGAUCUAAUUUCAUGUACUGCUAUUUGUUGUUAUGGAAACAGUAUAAUGAGUUCAGUUGUGUAAGGGUGGAAAUAUCACAUACAGUUUCUGUUCAGAGUAAAAAUGUCAAAAUGGCAUUUCUAUAAAUGGUGUUCCAGAAUAAACUGCUUCAGUGAGGCUCAUGAAGUUUUCCUUCCAGCUAAUUCUUCAUCAUUCUACAGUUUUUAAAUUAAGUGGCAGAAGAAGCAUUUUAAAAAUAAAACUCAUAGAAGAUUUGUUAUAAAAAUAGCAGGAAUCUAAUUUAAAGUGUGAGGAAUAAUUAGACAAGCCAAGAUAUCACGGCAAAAAGUGUUCUCUUUAAUCCUUUUAUUAUAUUAAAGAGUAUGAAUCCAGUGUAUCUUUUUUUUUUGCAAGAUGAUUUUAACUGUCAACUAUUUUAACUAAGGGAAUGAUGCUUUUACAGUGUCACAUAAUUAUUUGUCUCAUAAAAACAAAAUUACGUCCCAGUAAAUUUGACAUAACAGAUGCUGUCAUGCUUGAGGUCUUGGUUCCAUUCUGGGAAUCUAUACAGAAAUUUCACAAACACGUUAUAGGUGUCACUUAUGUGGAUUAGAUAGAUGCAGUACUUGCAUUAUUUCUGAUUUUGUUAUAGUAACUUAAACAUAGAAUAAAUCUCGUUUCUUUCUUUCUGGAAAGUUGACAGAUAAACUUCCUGGAAGUGCUGUGUCCAUGUCAUCUAAUACUCAAGCAGGUUUACUUUUGACUUUUACUCCUUUACCCAUAUAGAGAUGAACAAAUGUUUGAAUGUUUUGAGAUCACUUCUCACUUGGUGUAGCACUAAAUUUACAGCAGUUGUUACUCAAGCUUAUUCCAUGAAUUCGGGAGUAUUUCUGAGAAGCAUGGACUUCAUUGCAUCAGAAUGAUGAAAAGAGAAAACCAGAAAGCCAAAAAGGUAAUAUUUACACUGAAGAGAUUAUAAAGCAGAGAAAUACUAUCUCUUCUUGAGCAGGAAAAAUCUACUUCUUUAUUAACAUCCUUAAGUAACACUUGCAAAGGUGUUAGAUGAGAGAAUUUCUUUGCUGCUUAAUUAGGGGAUGUGAGAUAGAGAACUUUACGUUCCUAGGGUUGGGGUUAAACAGUAGCUGUGCUUGGAGCUUAACUUUCAUAGAAGAGCUGGUAAAGCUUUUCUGUAUUCCUCAGGAUAUUUGCUUCAUCAUCCUCUGCCAUUUCCAAUCUGUCCAUGCGGCAAAGCUUCCUAUCGUUGCAGUUAUCUGAAACAUUCAAUGUUUUAUUAACAUCAGUUCAAAAAUUAGUGCAAUAUUUCCAGCAAUAACAUUAGUUAAAGCCAGGCAAAACUAUUUCCCAUCAUAGUUUUCUAUCAACCUUUACUUAAUGCUUGUACUUCAAGAGAGGCAUUAGUAAGCGUGCUGAACUACCGAAGCAAUUGAAACAUAUGGUUAGUAAUGAGCUGACCCAGCACAUCAGCGGUGGCAGCUCUGUGUGUUCUGGAGAACAUUUGCAGCUGGGUCUGUCUGUACAGCAUUGAGGAGCACACGGGUGUCUCUGGUGGGGCCAUUGCUGCCAACAAGGUUCCUGUGAAGCCAGGGUGAUGAUGACACCAGUGUGUGUGCUCAGUGGUUGUUUUCUUGUAGUUUGGAUUAUAGUCUGUGCAGGCUUUAUGACUGGUGAUACAAUAAGCAGAAGGACUGGGUUAAAAUAUGUUUAGUCACUGAGAGAAACAUUUUUAAAUUCUUUAUUCCUUUUAGGAGUAUUCUAAAAAUUAAAAUGUAGUUUAUGUGGCACUUAAGUAGGUUAGGUAAAUCACUUGGGGUUGGGGGGGAAGCUGUGUCCAUCUUUUUUAUCAGUUUAAUAAACGCUGUUUUCUCCACAAUGCUGCCUUAAACAUCCUCUAGUUAUGAUCUGCUUAUUAAUAUACAAAUAGAGAAAGCAAUUUAUCACAUAGUCAUAAACUAGGUUUUGCAAAAGACUAUUCAAGCUUAAUGAAAUCAGGCCCUGGCGGUCUGGCCAAAUCCCAGAAUCUAAGACAAAAAUACCAUGAUGGAAAAAGGCUCAUUCAGUUUUCACGUCUACCUGAAAAUGUUGAAGGAAUACCACUAUAGACUAUAAAAUGCUUUCCUAGCAUCUGACAUCCUGGUGCUGAUAAAAAGCUGACCGUUAUCUUGGAGGAGAUGGAGAUAGCUGAGGGCCAGAUGGACUGAGUAUCUACCCCAGCAGGGACAGGAUCAUUAUAUGCUUCUGGCUGGAAUGGAGAGAAGGGGAAAACUUAUCUAAAACUAUGGGAAAAUGAUGGACAGAUAGUUGUGAUCAUUUGCUACUGUUGCUAGUAGUAAAAUUUCUCUUUCUGUGAUUUUCAAAGGUGAGGAAUAUGGUCAACUUGUUUUAAUUAUGCAUCUUUUCUCAGUGUGUGGUCUUAAGCUGUUUUUUUUCAUAGAUUGGGUCAAAUAGACCAGAUGGUCAGAAUACAAAUAACUAGAAUCAAGCCCAAAUUUGUGUCGAGAUACCCAUAUCCAAGAUUUGCCUGCUCUUAAAAAACACUUUUAAACUGGUAGCACUGUUAUUAACUUCUGCUUGUUUGUUCAGUUUACCUCCCCUCUUUCUCUUAAGAGAUAUAUAUUUAUUUGUAUCAAGAACUGAUUGGGAUUGUUCAGACCACAGUGGUUUAAAUACCUUGCUUUAAAAUCACUCUAAGGUGCUGUUUGGGGCAUACUAGCUGCUGAACACUUCCAGAUUAUCUAGAGCUAUCAUCAUCCAGUCUAGUCUGCAUUUCAAAUUCUUCUUGUGCUUGUACAAACAACAGUCUGAUUCUUCCUUUUUAUUAAUAUGAACUUUUACUGGCUAAAAUGCUGCUGAAAAAGAAGAAAAAGGUGCAAUUAAAACCUUUAAAACCUUUGUGGGUGAUCUUAUUUUGUAUGUUUUCCUUUAAUUUGCAUUAAUUGCAUCAUAAUUAUAAAAUUUAGAGGAAUUAAUGUGCUAGGUGUGCAGUCCAUGUAAACAGGGAGAAAACUUUCUACCAUGAAAAAUAAUCAGCAUAAAGAAUAUCUUGUUAUUUUGUGAGCAUCUUGAUGGUUAUUACAAGUGAUAAUUUUUGCAUUGCAUAUGCUAAAUAUAAUCAUUGUGCAAUGACUAUGCAGUUAUUGGUUUAGACUUAUGUAGUUUUGUGUAGAAUUUUUUUUUUACAUUUGCAGAACCUUGCUAAUGCUUCCUUCAUUUUGUUCUAGCAGACUUGGGAUGGGAGAGGAAAGACAAAGAGUAAAAAAAUAUGAUGCAUUUCUGAUCUGCGGGUGCUGUGCAUAUGAGCAUAUAUACAUAUAUAUAGAUAUAGAUAUAUAUACAUACAUACACACACACACACCCCCGCACCACCCUUAUUGUCUGUGACAUUUCCAAAUGUUAGCCCUAGAUCUGUACCCAAUUUUAUUGUAUUUGCGCACUGAAUAGAUUGGUUAAGUAAAUAUUUAACCAUGAAAAUUCUUCUACAUUUUUCUUCCAGAAGAGGCAAAACUUCUGUUUUCCACAAGGACUGAGUAGUUUACCAGGCCUCUUUGUUUAACAUAAUGGUGACAUUUUCAUGUUGCUGCUUUUGCCAAAAGUGGAUGUCUUCUGUUUUGUUUUAUGAAAGGUAUUUUGUAGUACCUUUUAAAUGCAUUUAGAAUACCUUUUAAAUACCUUAAAAAGCUGGAGAAAAUAAGAUUGCUGUUUAUGUCACAUUGGGUAUCCAAGAAAAUAUUUACCUAAAGUUAUUUUUAAGUAUUGACACGUGUAUGUUUCAAAUAGAGGACCAGCCCAGAGUCUCUCUGGCAACACUGUGUUCCCGAAAGCACAACAUGUGGAGACUGGUCGUAGAGAUUGUAAACCCUCAAGAAGAGAUGGUAAUGUAUAAAUGAACUGGUCUUGUCAGAAAUAAUAAGUAAUCUCUCAUCACAGUAUAUGGAAUAUUGUGUCCAGUUCUGGGCCCCUCAGUUCCAGAAGGACAGGGAACUGCUGGAGAGAGUCCAGCGUAGGGCAACAAAGAUGUUGAAGGGAGUGGAGCAUCUCCCUUAUGAGGAAAGGCUGAGGGAGCUGGGGCUCUAGCUUGGAGAAGAGGAGACUGAGGGGUGACCUCAUUAAUGUUUAUAAAUAUGUAAAGGGUGAGUGUCACGAGGAUGGAGCCAGGCUCUUCUCGGUGACAACCAAUGAUAGGACAAGGGGAAAUGGGUAUAAACUGGAACACAAGAGGUUCCACUUAAAUUUGAGAAGAAACUUCUUCUCAGUGAGGGUGACAGACACUGGGACAGGCUGCCCAGGGGGGUUGUGGAGUCUCCUUCUCUGGAGACAUUCAAAACCCACCUGGACACAUUCCUGUGUAACCUCAUCUGGGUGUUCCUGCUCCGGCGGGGGGGUUGGACUAGAUGGUCUUUCGAGGUUCCUUCCACUCCCUAACAUUCUGUGAUUCUGUGAUCACAGUCUAUGGCAUCUUUGACCAAACUGUAGAUAUUGCUGAUUUUCUCAAAUGUACUUGACAGAUUUGCCUGGACCUCUGAGUUGGAAGGAUGGGGAAGGAAAGGAUGGGUGCCCAUGCCAUACAGGCCAACCCAGAGCAGAGCAGAGUGUUGGCUUGCCCAAUCUGCCUGAGCGGGCUCUUCACUGUGGGUACCACGCUUUAUUUGGGGGGGACCUUGGAGCAGUAGCUUCAGCAGCUAACUCCACCAACAUCCUUUGCCAUGGGGCACUGCAGCCAGGUUUCUCGGUGUCCUGUCCCUACUGGCUCCUGUACUAUCUGCCGGAGAAGUCACAAGCAAAGGACUUGGCAAUUCCCUUUGCCACCCAAGGCAGUGGGAUGGAGUGGAGGAUCUCCCCUGCCCCUCCUUUGCAUUUGUAGUGAACCAUGGAUCUCCCUUUCUCAGUGGCAAGGUUGCGUACCACUGAGCAGCAGGAAAAAGCCUAAGAGUCAUCUGUUACAGGGAUGAGCUGUUGAAGAGUGGGAUGUGAGGAAAUGUGGCUCCUUCGGGGAAGUUCCCAUCAUGUUUUUGUGUUGGUGCCUCAUAUUCUGUUUGAAAAACAGCCCUUCAUGAAAGAUUGCAGCUGAGCAAGUGAACAGUUACUUACAAAUUAAUAAUUAAAACUAGACUGGGGAUGAUUUGACAUCAUUUAAAAAUUAGUGGCCUUCCAUAGAACAUUUCACUUUUUUUUUUCUUGGACCUCUGACAGCCUUGGCAGUAUAAAUGAGUUUAGUAGAUCAAGUUUAUGUGAACUAGUUUUGGGUGCUUUUAGUAGAAUUAUUAAUGAUACUAUAAUGCUGUAGAUGCUACUGAUUAAACCCAAUAUAUUGGUAAACUCUGAACUUGCAAUCUUGAAAGUAGAGUAUUGAAUGCUUAUCACAACAAAAAAUAUACUUCUGGCAGUUAAGCAAAUAGUACCCUUUUUAAAAAAAAAAUGGUUUGCUCACAGUCAUACAAACUAAUUUGGUGAAAGAAAUACACAUCUAUUUUUCUUGAGAUUAAGUGUCUGGUUUUAGGAGAAAUGUGCUGUGGUUUAUGUGGGAGACUGUUCAGAGAGAGCAGCCCACACAUGAAGAACUUGUCUUUUUGUACACAUAAUACAAUUUAAGGGACUUUUUUUUAAACAAAGCUUAAUUUCUGUAUAAAACUCCACACUGGUAGCAUCACAUGAACAUGUGUCUCAGUGCAGACAUUUUCACAGCUAUAUUCUUUAGAAGCAUUUGUCCAGAGCUUUAGUGAUUGUUUCUGCAGCAACAAGGAUUUACUUGGUAGUAUAAUUACAUGCAGGAUCUGGCGAGAGAUCUAAUGGCUAAUUAAAACUUUUUACUUGUUUUAAAGUGAUCUUGCUUUGAUCACAGAUUUCAGUAUUUGAAUCGUUUCAAGGAGUGAUGAAUUAAUUAUUGUCCCAUCCCAGUGCUACCCAUAGGAAAGACAUUCUGCGCAGACUCGUGUCAGCACUCACCUCCUCUGCCGUCAGCAGCAUGAACUCUCUGCAAGAACUUGCCUUCCAGUUAGGUCCUCUCUGAUUUGGAUUUUAAGGAGAAAAUAAAUGCAAAGUGGUUUUUUUGCUUGUUUGUUGAGUUUGUUUUGUUUUCAGUAUUAGCCUAAUCUGUGGUCACUGUCCUUGCUAUUUAUUUAGUUUAAAGCAAAGUAAGUAGCCAGUGACAGCAUAGCUUUAAAAUAGAUGAAGAGCAGUCAUCGUAGGCAAGUAUAUGUUUAUAUAUAACAUCCUGCAGAGUAGCAAAUAUUCUUCUUUAUGGAAGAUCAAGAGCAAGGAAACUACACAUCACUUAGUUACAAGCCCUGUGGCCUAGUCUGAAGUCUACUUAAAGACUAGUACCUGAGAGUCUGAUUCUUCUACUGUCUGGCCUUGUUUCCAGCUGAGGUUAGCCUAGGUUAUCCACUAGCAAAAAGAGCCUAAUACUUACAAUUUUCAUAGAGUGUAAAUGCUACACAAGAGCAAAAUAUUAUUACUAGUCAUUUAAUUGGAAGACAAUGAUAGUGACAAAUACAGAUACUUAUACGUUAAGAAAAUUCUUGUCCUCCUUGUCCAGUUAGGUUGGUAGCCAUUCUUCCUUUUUAUUUUUCUUCUUUAAUUCUUCCCCCACAUUGUAGAAGGCAUCUCAAAACAAUUCCUUGCAUACCUGAAGGAAGAACUGGUCUUCAUUUUGUUUGCAUAGAAGAUAGCAGUUUGCUCAUCUGCUUAUUUUGUGGUACUGUUGUGGGAGGGGUGGGUGGCAGCAGUAGGUUGUGCAUGUCACUGUGGGAGCACUGUGGUUUGUGGUGACUCUCUCUCUGGGACACUUUGAUUUAGCUUUAGAGGGCAUCCUGGAACCCAAAGACCAUUGAAAACAAAAGGAUUUAAGUGUGUAAAAGCCUUGGUGAAUCUUGGGUCUUCCUCAAAUUGUGUGCCUGGUGCAUGGGUGUGCAGGGCACUGUGAGGUCCUCCUGGAGGUGCUGCAAGUGUGUCCCACGGCAGAGUCUGGACCUGCCUCAAGUAAGCACAAUAUCCUUGCCAGGUGUGAGCAGGGAAAGUUGGUUUGAUAGCUCUCUGGGAGUCCUCAUGAAACCUGAGCCAACAAGCUCCCUUAAAAUAGAAAUAAGUAAGGAUUACUAAUACUGAUUAUUAAGAGUUUUUGACAGCAAUACCUCCGUGUGUGAGCAUAAAGUGGCUCUUAAGCAUAGGGAAUAGUACAGACUGAGAAAUGCUGGAAAAGGAGGUUGAAUUUCUGUGGGCAUGAGCUAUGGGAAAAGGAGGACGAGGAGUACUUGUAAUGGGUAGUUGCUUCUAGGAAUAAAUAAUUCAUCUCACCAUAAGAGUCCCAGCUCUCCUUAUAUCUUUGAAGGGGUUCUGGAUGAGCUUUCAAGGAACUCUUAAGAACCAAGAUGGUCUAGUUGUGGUAGUACAGAGCUCUGUGCACGUUAAUCAGUCUCUCAGAGACAUAAAAUGUAGAAGGUCCAAUAAAACCUCACAGGGUCAAUACCUCUUUUUUGAAAUUAAUUCCAAUUUCUGUCCUUUACUGGUAAAAAUGAGAGGGACAGUGUGCAAACAUUUAGCCUGUGUGUUGCUUUGCAGAACUAUUCCAUUAGAUCAGCAGGCUGUGGAUGAAUAAUUAAAAUGUAUAAUAUAGGCUGUUCUGUAUGUGUGUUUGCUGAAUGGGGUUGAUCUCUGUUCUUUGUCACUAUACAAAGCAAGUUAAUAAACUGUAUUUAGUGUAUUGAUAGUGAUUUGAAAGCUAUUUCAAGGUAUUAUAUGGCCACUUACAAAUAACAGAGUGCUUCAUCCAACUCAUAGACCAGACAAGCAGCAGCUGCAAUUGGUGUAACUGCUGCUGGAACCUAGGCAAAUUCAAAAUUGUGUAUUUUCCAGUAUCUCUGUUCUCAGUCUGGACAAAACCAAAAAAAAUAAUUCCCUGCCAGAGCAGUCAGGCACAAGAAGGUUUGGGACCACCCAUUCUGGUUAGUCUCUCUGUGGUUUUGUCACUUUUCAUCCAUUACUGACUUCCUCGGGCCAAAGAGACAGGUGUCAUAAUGCACAACUUCUAAGCAUUUUGAUUAUUCAGGAGAUGCUCUCGCCCCCUCUCAAAGUACCUACGAAAAUAAUAGUUACUUCCUUAAAAUAGAUGGGGGGAGGGAGGAGGGAAGUGUAGUUCUGUUGAAGGCCCUGUGGCACUGUUUUCACUAGCCUAUUCUGAGAACUCUGCUGGUGUGAGCAGUAAUUCUGAUACAAGGACAGAUGCUUUUUGCAUUAGCAGGGUGGUUUAAAUUGAAGCUAUGUUAGAACAGUUGUAAACUUCAGUUUGAAUGCAAUCACAAAAAUAUCAAGCAGAAAAGGACAAUCUGAGAUUGAGUGGGAGUGGAACUGCCAAAAUCAAACAGGUGAACAUAGACCAAGGAAAUGGAAAACACUGAGAAAUUCGGAUAGUGCUUCUUUAAGGAUUUAAUUCAGAAAUUAAUAUAUUCCUUUUGAUGUGUGAUUCUUUUUUUCUUUUCCUUACUGCAUAGCAAGCAAUUUAAUGUUAUCUUGCUACCCUUGUAUCAAAAGGAUUUUGUGAUAGCACGUGUCCUAUCUGCUUUGAUCCAAAACCUGAAUUCGGGAGUGCUGAGAAAGCAAAGGCAGAAUUCCUGCUCUGAGAGUACAGUGGGCCGUAGCUUCUCCACGAACUAGUUCAGACAUAGCAUAUUAAAAAAAUAACCAUUUGUAACAGAGUGUGAUGGUGUUCACAGCUUACUCUUCCUAGCUAGAUGCUCCCUUGUAUUCAGAAAGAAGGCUCCCUCUGGAGCCUCCUGUCAUACUUAGUAUUUAUGCCUUGGCAUAGGGUGUCUCGUGUGGCAGAAAGGGCGGAAAUUGCCAAAUGAAAUGUCUCUUCAUUCCAGAACAAAGAUUGCUGUCCUUCAGUAGCAGUCUGCAAUGGCCAAGUGUGGCAAGUAGACAGUGAUCAUGGUAGCUGAGAUGUUCUGUCUGCAGGAUAUUGUAAUAAACUUUGCCAUUAUUGGUUUCCCCAAACAAUUUGCAGUCUAACAGCGCUAGGGGACUGCACUAAACAGAGCAGUUCAGUUCUGCAUCGCAAAUGUUUCCUGGAAUAAAUAGGAAAUAUAGCAUUUUUGAACAAGGGAAAGGGAGAAUAUUCAAGUCAAGCAGCCUCAUUUUAUUCACGUCGCCUUGCCAAGUGUUUUCUGUCAUCUGGCUUUCUACCUUCAGAGGUGCCCUAGCACUAGGAGCCACAUAGCCUAGGGAUUUAAAUAGCAUUUAGGUCCUCAGAAUCUGGGCCACAUUUGGGAUGCUGUUCCAUGCACCAGAAUUGGUGUGAAAAAAACUAUAUGAAGUUGGGAGUGAAUGAAGCAGCGGGGGAAGAGCCAAGACUGUUCAGUGGAUCAAAAGGAGAGGAAUCCAUCCCAUUUGUAGAAGAAGCUAGCAGAGCAGAGGGGUUCUAUCUGAGCUUUCAUAGUGCUGGCACUCUCUCCUCUGCUUUUGGCUGGUGUCUUGGGAUAGAUGUGUGGAAUGUGAUGCAGCAGGGGGGUGGGAAAUUCAAAAGCGGAUGGAAGAUGGAAACCAGAAGGAGCUGGCCCAAAUGAGCAAGCUGUGCUAGUUCUCUAGUGUGUUUCUCACACUUCAAUAAGGAGGCUUCAGCUCCUGAAUGGCAAUUACGAGUGCAGUCUAUAGGUAGAAAUUGUUCCUCAAACUGUAGAUAUUUUCUUCCUCUCUGUCACUUUAAGCAAGCAUUGAUAGUUCACAUUGAAUGGCAAAUCCAGCUUUCCUUUUGUCUUGAGUUGUUUGAAGCCACUGAAAUAAUAAAGGAUUUCUGGGAACGGCUGCUUUGCAUCAUUUUUUUCCAAAUUGUUGCCAAGAUCUGGAUCUAUCUCUAAGAAUCAGAAUGCCAUAAGGAAAUAAAUCAGAGCAAAAUUAUUUUCUAUGAUUGUCAUUUCUUUGUCUGUUAAAAUUAAUUGAUUGUAAGUUUACAAGAUAGAUUGUCUCUUUAUUUCAUCAAUGAGUUUCUGAAAUUACCUGCUGCAGGAAGGCUAUAGUUGUGGCUUUCAGUACUGCUGAAAUAACACUUUUAGAAGGAUCAUCAAAAGCAGAUUGAAGCAAUUCUCCCAUACUGCUAUUAAACAGCAGGUUAACAGCCUGGGCACCGAUGCCAGGAAGGGGCUGUUUCAUAAGGCUGUUAUAUGAAGUUUCUAGUUUGAGACAGCUUUCAUUUUAUUUGUAUAAGUAAAUUUAAAAUCUGUACUCUGAUGCUAGUCCAACCAGAUCUCACCAGAUAUAAAUAAUGUGGUCACGCAUAGCAAGGGUCCUGGUUUUGUUUAGGAUUUAGGUUGCAGUGCUUCAGCUAUUGCUGGGUGCCUGGAGGGCAGCAUCAGGUUUCCUUGGCUUCAGAGCCAAGUUCUGACAGAUAGGGCUUCAUAAGGCUUAGCUAUGGGUUUGGCUCAGAUAUUGUCAGAAGCAUAGGUGAAAAUGCAUUUAGCCAUCGUGAGGGUGACAACGCCAGGGUUUUCCUGCUUUAUGAAGGGUGAAUGAAGGAAAAAAUGACAGAGCUGAUCUGAAAAAGCAGCACUCCUGCUCUCUCUGCAGGGUAGGAAAAGCAAAGCUGGGAACUGCUGCUUUUCAGCAAGGGCCACCCCAACCAUUAGCUCAAACAUCACAACCUUUUAGUCUUCAAUAGGAAUCUUGCUUUUCCAGGGCUCUGAUGGAGAAAAGGGAACAGCGGGGCAUCAGAGUUACAGAUGUUAAAUCAGCUGGCGAUAGUCUGAUAUGAAAGAGGCUUUGCAAAUGUAAGAGCAUUUCAUUGUGCAAAACUGAUGUACCUGUAAUUGCAUCUCUAAUUAACAGACUGCUAUUUGUGGCCUAGUAAGCCCAACAUCAAUGUGCCUUUUUGUAAGGACAAAUUGACAGUGUCUUUAGGAGAGUCUUGAGAAUGUACAGCCUUAUGUUUCCCCUUUGAAGGGGUGACUUUAAAAACUAACACACGGUCUGAUGUUUAAUUGUUCUGGGAAAUUAAAAUAUUUAAACAAGCACUGUAAUCUGGUGUAAGUUUGUGCUCUCCUUGGACAUUCUCAUGCUGAUUUUCAGCACGUUGAUGCCCUGACGGAACCCAUCACAGCAGCACCAGAGCUAGAGGUGAUGCUCUAGGAGAGCUGGCAAGGGAAGAGGGUCACUUCUUCCACUAGCAGCCUGGAUUUAUAGCAGUUUAAAAUUACUUUGUAACACGAACCUCAAUGAUUUUUUUUUCCUCAUAAUUUGAAUAGGAAUUGGCUCUCUGUGACCAGUAUUAAUGUUGCUUGGGUUGUGGCUGUUCAGCAACCAGCUUUCUAGGCAUGUGAUUUCAUGGAAUUUGGAUCUAAGAUAUCUUUACUUCUCCCAUAACUUUUUCAGCUAGAGAAUACACCUGAAUAUCGAAACGCUUCUCUGAGUACCUUUCUCAAACUCAAGCUUUAUGUGUCCUUCUGUUUAUAUACCUUAUGCUUUUAUAUUAAUUUCAAGGUUUCGGAGGGAUGUAUAAGCAUUGGCAAAAUACCUCGCAAGUUACCGAUGAUGUACUAUUGUUAUUCUAGUACUGUGGCUAGAGAAAUCUGAGACAUUGUGAAUUAUUCAGAGGCAUGUCAUAAGGCUGCAGGCGAGAAACAGAGCGCGCCUACACAGAGGGAGGAGUGCUGGCAGCUCUGCCCCACGCCGAGCUGAGUCCUGCUUCCAAUGGGCUCCCAGCCAGCUGACCUUGUCAGGUCUUUUCCAAGCUAAAUUAUGAAUGCACGUGCAUGGUUGGGAUGCAAAGCCACCUCAGUCCUGGAUGCAAUGUAGAUGUGUAAGCAAACAGCAAUGUGAGAGUUAAUAAAGCUAAAGAGAAGCGGAAGUAUUAUGUUUCUUUGUGUAAUCUAGCAAGGGAAGAAAUUUUCCGUAAGGGUAGGUAUAAUUCAAACUUUUGUUGCAAAUGCAACAAAAAAGCAAUUUAAAAACCAAACAAAACAAAACAAACCCAACAAGAACAACAACAAAACACAAAAAAAAACCCAAACCAAAGACCCACAAACAGUCAAACCUUCUGUAAAUGCAAGCUUUUAUCCUCCUUCUAACUGAUACCAAUCAAACAGAAGUUAAUCACAUACAGUGGGAAGCUGGUAAUGAAUGCAUUCUACUAUGGCUAUGUCUGCAGAAAAGAGACAGAAAACUAUUUAAUAUAAAUGUUUUAUUUUAGUCGUGCUUAAUUUGUGUUUCAGAUGUUGCAUGUUUCUUUCUUUUUUCAAAUUUUAUUACUCUGGAAAGAAAAUCACAAGAAGAAAAACAUUAACAUUGUCUUUAAAUGCAUGUCUCAGAGUCUAGAUUGUACUAUUUGCCAAUAUGAACAUUUUGUUACUCACAUGCUAAUGAUUCAAGUACCUUCUCCAAAAGUAUUUACUACAGAUUCCCAUUGUAGUUUCUUGCUCCGGAAUAUUGUGUAGUAGUUGUGAUUUGGGGAAAGGGAAAUUAUUUUCAGUGAUUUUUUUCUGUGUUUUUAUCCUUACUUUUUUCACUAAUCUUGCUGAAAUCAGUACCUGGUAUGAAUAUUCCAAUAACUAAAUCAGGUAUUAUUUUAAAACUCAUUUAAUGUUAUUUUGCACAAGUAUUUUCUGGGUUUAGUACACUUGUACUUAAUGUACUACAAAUAAUGAGAUGUACCAUGAUAGACACAUAGAAAUAUACGGAGGUGAGAAAGCAUUCAAAUACUUUUAGACAGCAACAACACUGCUUGUAUUUCAGAUUCCCGGAAGGUUUUCCAAACCCCGUUGGGUCUGCAUUAGCGCACCAUCCAGCACUGUGGGCUUGGACUUGGAAGGCAAAGCCUUGCUGCUGAAGAGCCAGUGUCCAAACUCCAUGUAUUUUGAAGGUUUUGAAGGCUAGCUUGUCUGGCUUGAUUUUGCUGAAGAAAAGUGCAGUUUGUGCUGUCUGAGAGCACUUGGUGAUGUGAAACAAAGACUGGUAGAUAGGGAUGAUCGCAAGACUUGCUUCAAAAAGGCAUACUAAUUCUGAGGCAAAAUGCCAAUGUAAAUGCACUUUUUAUUCACUGUAAGCAGAGAGCCUCAUUCUAUCUUUUUUUUUCCUCUGUACACCAACACUAAAGCAAACUGAAAAAGCUUUUCAAUGGUUAUCAUUUUGCUACAGACUUGACUAAUAUCUAUGAAUAUGACAAGAAAUCAUCGCCAUCAUUCAUUGUGGAGUCUACAUCUGUCAUCACUUAUUCUUCUAUUUUGCUGCAAUCUAUCUGAGGGCAUUUUCAAUUUUGUCAGUAAAUACUGAGGAGCAGAAAAGAGAAAUCGCUGUUGAGAGGUAAAAGCAUUAUGUGUAAUUAGUUGCAGUUAUAAAUAGUAGUAGCUACAUUUAGUGAGCUACAUGAAAAGGUUGCAAGAUCCCUUUAGUUGGCUCCUCGGUUUUGGUCACAAAACAGAAUAAUUUGUUUUAAUUCAUAAAAUAUAUCUGCAUUUUAGAAAUUUUGCAGGAGGUAUUCUCUGGAGCUUUGCCUCAGUACGUUUUCUGCCUGUUUUCACUUGAGCUCGGUGAGCUGGCAAAGCUUUCAGGCUCGUUCAAGAACCAUCCUUUUGGGUUAGCAGGUUAAUAGUUUUUCAGUGUUUGUGGUAGGGUUGUGCACAAGUCGGGGACAGGGAACAGUUUCUUCUGCGGUACCAUCUAUGUGGCAAAAUAUAAUGUGUUCAGUUCUAGGAGUGUCUUGCGAUAGGAUGAAACAAAGGAGAGCAAAGUAAAAUAGACUGGUGGUAGGAGCCCCUGUUUAUUAAUCUAACUAGUGAUCUGUUUUGAAAGUCAGAAAGAAACUCUUAGAAAUUAUGGAUGGGUAUAUAAAAUUUUCAGUAAAUGCUAUUACUUGUACUGCGUUUUCAAAUGGGAGUUCUUCCAGAUUUUUAAGCUGAAAGUGGCAUUAUAAUGAUAGGUUUGUUGUUGUUUUUUUGCAUUUUUUUUCUUCUGAAACUUUCUUAACAAUUAGAUAUACAAUAAUCUGAUCUUAUCUUAAAUUGAAUUUUCCAAUUGUACAAACCUUCAAUCUAUAAAUUAACAAUUGAGUUCAAAGUAGCUAGAAUGCUCUGGGAGAAUAUGUACCUUUAUCAGGCCUGAGGGUUGAGUUACACUGAACCCAUGCGUUUUCCAUCAGCAUUACUAGUGGCAAAUCAUUUACCGUGCAGUACAAACGCAUCAGUUUGCAUGUUUUCCUGACAGCAAUACAGUUUCUGAGCAAGACAUAGAUUCUUCUGCCACCAAGUGGUUAUCUUGUUUAGAAUCAACAACCAUUUUAAGAAAGAUGCUCUAAUGUUUGGGUUUUUUUAAAAAAACUGACUGUAAAUUAUCACAAUUGUUUUAUUUUUGAUGCUCAGACUAUGUUAACUUAUGUUGUUCUGUUUGUAAAGAUUAAACUUCAAAAUACACCUUUACAAGAAAACAUUUCAAUAAUUAUUUUUUUUUUCAUCUGCUAUGAUUUAUUUUAAAUUAGGUAUUCCUGCUUUUGCCCUUUUUCCUGUUGAAAAAAAAAAAGUAAUAAAGAUCUUUCUUUGGUAUUUUUGAACAGAAUUGGUCCCUACAUUUUGAAAUGAAAAGUGAAAUUAGAGUUUCCAGCACCACUGUUGAACCAUACUGAUUAAACCUUUUAUCUCUUUUCCCCGUUUGCUACGAUCUAUUGAAAAGUUAGGCUUUGUUUGAAAAAUAAGUAAAUGCCCACUCCCUGUUUAACAAUUUCCAUUUCAGUGGGAGAAGGGGCUUGCAAAAAUGUUUGCAGAUGGGUUCCUUAAGAAAUUUGCUGUAAAUUAAUUUUUUAUCUAUGCAUAGGAUUCAAAAUUGGGCUUUUGAUAUGAAAACCAAGUAACAAAGGAUAGACUUGGCAUGCUUUGUAAAAGGGUCUCUGACAUGUCAGACCUAUUGCUUUUCUUUCCUUCUUUCUGUGCUAUUUUCAUACAGCUCCUUCAGAUUUCUUGUCAAAAUAACCAGCUGCCAUAAACCCCAUGAUUAUUACGUAAGCCGUGCUGCUACUGAAAUACUCAUUAACAAGGGAAGGUACAUGUCAUUUCACACCAUGCGUUGUCUAAAGUUAUAAUUUUUGUUCUGAAUUAGCUUUUUGCUUUUACUCCUCUGUAAUAAAAGAUAUUUUUAGUAGAAGGGAUGGAACUAAGUUUGAGUGUUGAAGUAUGGGGUAUAUGUGUGCAGGCAGAUUUGAAAGGUGUAAUUAAAUUGCUUGGCUUUUUUUUUUAUUAACUCUACUGAGCGUUAGCUCUAAGGCUCA